AAAAGCCUAAAAAUAGGAUAGGGAAAAAAUAUUUUCAGUCACCGAAAUUUUGGCCUAAAAACUGCCCGGGGGUCUCGAGACUUUUUUUCCGAAACCUACUCAGGCAAGGAAACACGAAUCGGAAAAUAAAAGUAUCUCGAAAACAAACCUAAUAUGGAAAGGACUCGAAUUGAUGGUGGACAGGUAGAUGUAUAUGUGGACUCGGAUGGGUGGUAGACAGGCGGAUGUAUAUGUGGACUCGGAUUGGUGGUGGACAGGAGGAUGUAUAUGUGGACUCGCAUUGGUGGUAUAUGUGGACUCGGAUUGGUGGUGGACAGGGGGACUUUUUUUCCCGAAACCUACUCAGGCAAGGAAACACAAAUCGGAAACUAGAUGGAUCUCGAAAACAAACCUAAUAUGAAAGGAACUCAGAUUUGUGGUGGAUAUAUGGUGGUGGUAUAGGGCAGAGGUGGUGGCAGCGGUGGUAGUAUAUGGAUAUGGAUCGGUGGUGGUAUAUGGAUACGGAUUGGUGGUGGUAUAUGGAUACGGAUUCAGAGCGGUGGCGGAUAAGCGGUGGUGGUAGGUGGCAGGGGCGAUGAUGAUGGUGCGGUGGCGGCGUGACAACUUAUGACCAGAACUCCAAACUCUAAAAGACUAGACGCUAAGACCAGCAACUUGACACGAUGAUGCAACCGCAAAUUCAACAAAGCAAAAUACUGAAAAGACUAUGCAAAGGCUCAGAUUGGUUCGGAUAUGAUGAACUAACCCUAAUUUUUUGUGUGUGGCUUUUUCAUGGACUAUAGGUAUGAAGAACAGACUCGACCAAAACUACAAAAAACUAUAAAAUCUCACCGAGCAACCUGGAAAUCUGAUACCACUUGAUAGAGGCAAAGGUGUCCCGUCUUUCGAUGAGAAGGUGGCUAUCGUUUUGGAGGAAGUCGACUUUGAAGAUCCUACUACGAACGUGCGAGGAUGUCGCGCCUUAGAAAUCGUUAAACCAACUCCGAGAGGUUAUUGACCACGCCGGAGCACGAUCAACCUGACCACGAAGGUCUGUUUCCUGCAGGCAAACGAAGAACAAGCAAGAAACUAAGAUUGCAAAUCUGGAUAUUGCGAAUAUAAGAGGAAAGCUUUAUUGAUGAAGGUGGGGUUCUGUGACGCCUUUGUCUGGUCGUUGAACACAAACGAAGUACGCGAAGUUGCAGCUAUGGCGAACUUUAAUCUAAACAAAACCCAAAGUCUAAAUGGUGCCCUAAGGGCUGUAUAUAUGGAGGAAGAGGGGGGACUUCGUGGCCCUUGGAGAAGGGGUCCGAAACCAACCCUAUCUCUUGUUUCCCCAUGCAUACAGACUCUAAAAACAGCCUAUACUUAUGUAUUUCGAAAUUACAUGGGCCUGGCCCAAUAAUAAGGUGACGCAGCACCUAGAAUAGCCUCUAGAAGAAAUUUAUGAAGUGGCAUCUUGUAUAUUUCGUCCAAGGCUUCAUGCACUCAUUAUGGUGGCUUCAAAGUCCUGAAAUCAUCACUUGUAACUCCGUUCUUUUUCCCCUUGCGCAUGCCAUCCUCUCUAUGCUUGGUCUUGCUCCAGUUUUCAUCCCUCUUAUCCAUGCCAGGCCCUUCAUUUGUAAGCAAAACAAAUGUAUCCAAUUUAGGCAGCAUCAUAUUCUCAUGAACAUUAGAAUCAUUACCAAGAAACAAAAGUACCGGAAAAUUUAAUUGGUGUGCGCGAGCUCUAGUAAUUGGUCCAGUAUAUGUAGCAGUAGGGGCUGUGGGUGUAACAAUCGUAUUGAUGUCCUCAUCAGACACUUUGGACGCGACAAGACUUUUGCCACGCUCUCCAAGAACUAUUUUUGGCCCAAGAUGUUUCGUGAUGUCGCCCGCUUCACCAACUGGUGCUCUACAUGUUGCAAAGCUAAGUCACAAUCUCAAUCCCACGGUUUACAUAUGCCACUACCCAUUCCACACCAACCUUGGGAAGAUAUUAGCAUGGAUUUUGAGCUUGGAUUACCUAGGACUCAAAAUGGCAAGGACUCCGUAUUUGUUGUAGUGGACCGAUUCUCUAAAAUGGAUCACUUUAUCCCAUGCAAUAAGAUAGACGAUACUUCACAUGUUGCAAAUCUCUUUCGUAGGGAAAUCUUGAGGUUGCACGGCAUGCCAAAGACAAUUGUGUCAGACCGAGACGUCAAGUUCUUAGGCUACUUUUGGAAGACGAUAGGCGCCAAGCUCGGAAUCAAGCUACUCUUCUCCACGGUAUCAUCCACAAACCGAUGGCAGCGGAAGCCACCAACCGGACUCUUGCCACUCUCCUACGCGUGUUGAUAAAGAAGAACAUCAAGGAGUGGGAGGAGUGCCUACCCAUCGCCGAGUACGCCUACAACCGUGCAAGACACUCUACCACCGGCAAGUCCCCUUCGAGGUUAUCUACGGCUUCAACCCAUUAUCGCCAUUGGACAUCCUUCCCCUACCGCUUCAAGAACGAGCAAACAUGGACGCUAGUGUAAGAGCCACCUACCUCAAGAAGAUGCAUGAAGAAACACGUUCCAUGAUCGAGCACCAAGUACAACGACUCGCCUCUAAGCUUAACAUCCACAAGUCUCCGAUGGUGUUCCAACCGGGUGAUCUAGUAUGGAUACAUCUCCGCAAGGACCGCUUCCCCAAGGAGCGCAAGUCCAAGCUACUUAUGAGAGCCGAUGGACCAUUCAAGGUGCUCGCACGCUACAACGACAAGGCCUACAAGGUCGACAUUCAAUGUGACAAGUAAAACGUAAACGACAUCUUCAAUGUCAAAGACUUGGCCAAGUACCAUGGUGAUGAAGAGCACGAUCCAUGGACGGAUCUCUCCCAGGGGGGGCAUGAUGCGGAGCAUCCCGAGCUCAUCCACAACGACACUCCAUCACCACCACAAGCACCGAGAGGACCAAUGACACGAGCACGUGCACGCAACAUCGAGAACGAGGUCACUUCUUUCCUCUCCGAGUUUUGUUCGGUUUCAUAUGAGAAUGAGAUUCUACCUCAAAGAUGAUGCGGAGCAUCCUAUGGACAUCACCAUGUCAAGAGUCCGAUCGGCAAGUGACACGUGCAACAUCUACUUCACAUACACAAAGGUGAAUCAUCUCCUUUACACGUGCUCACUUGACACCUUCGAGGAUGGUAUACUACUUGACACUCCUCCCGUGUGCAUGCAUAGGUAUUCUCGGAGCUUCACGGAUGUCGAGGAGGAGUGCAAGCGCCAAGGAACAACUACACCAUCCAUGAGGGAAGACUGGAAGCAACGACGGAAGAAGAUGGAGCUGCUGACGCUACAGCGGCCGCACAUCCGGACCAAGGGCUGGACAUCCGACGCCUGUGCAGCCGCCCAGGAGCUGCACCAAUAGAAGGCCAAGAGCUUCAGCAGCCGGACAUCCGGCGCCUCAGCAACGCCCGGACAUCCGGCAACCAAACCCGGAAAUCCGGCGACGACUAUCCAGAGAAGUCUGGAAUGGCUUGUUCCACGCCGGACAUCCGGCCUCCCGCGAACAGCCGGACAUCCGGCGCCUGCCUGCGCGUAGAGUCGGGCCAAAGGCCCAUGUAUCCCUCUUUCCCACUUACCCCUUCGUGGCUUAGACUAUAUAUACUCCCCCACCUCCUCCUAGUUAGGGUCAGCAAAGGAUUAGCUCAUUUGAGAUAGAGCUUUGCUCAUCCAUAUGGAUCUACUCCACGAGAGAGACCGCGGCCCCUCUACGGAGAAGAUCCCCCUUGGAUUCAAGACCCCCUCUUGGGUGGCCCACUUCAAGACCUCCUCAUGGAGAUGAACCUUACGUUGUAUCUUUUCCUUUGUUGUUCAUGUACCUUGUGGAUCUUGUGUGUUUGAUUGUCUAGUCAGUGUGUGAUUGGACUUGUUCUUGAGUGUUUCCCCUUGUGAUUUCUCUCCGUUCUUCCCCGUGUUCUUCGCGGGAUCCGCUCCUUUCGUGAAAGAUCGGCCGUAUAGGGUUCCACCCUACAUCAUCUUGGUAUCAUGAGCCACGUUGAUCACGAUUUCGGAGCCUCCCCGUUGUGUUUUCUAGCCUAGUUUUGUUGAUAUUGUCCCAAAUUCGAAAAUUCCCCACAAAAUAGCCCCCCAAUUUUUUUGUGAUUUGUUGGUUUGAUGAUGUUUUGUUGAUUUUGAUCCAUGGAUUUGCUUGGUUUCAAGUGGAUCUAGCAUAUCCCCAAGUUUACCCACUUUCCAUCCACGAAAUAUCUCCAAUUUUGCCCCCGAAAUCAUCCAUUUCCGCCCCAAAUCGAGUUUCGAAGUCCAAAUCCCGAUAUGCAAUCGUCGGGCCGGACAUCCGGGCCAUCUGGCCGGACAUUCGGGCCCCAAGCUGGACAUCUGGCUCCUAGAGCGCAAAAUUGCGCAAGUUUCUGGACAUCAGGUCCCGGAUAUCCGGCCCCGAGCCCGGAUGUCCGACCCCUGGAGCAUCAGCCUCCCGUGUUUCACCGUUUUGCCCAUAAUUUUCACAUCCGAAGUCCGAUUUUCGCGUUCUUUAGCUUGUUGAGUAGCUAUUGACAUCCUCUAUCCAUCUAGAUAGGUUACAUCACCAUUUGACUCCAUCAAAUUUUUGGCACUUUGGCAUCUCCAAGACUAUCUUCCUCGAGAACUACAAGUCCCUCGACGACAACUACAUUGGUGCUCUCAAGGCGGAACAAGAACUAAUGAAGGCCAAGGCUUCUCCACCCCAAGCACACUUCUCAAAGACCAAGCUCAAAGACGACGAGCAUGAGGCUAGUACAACCAAGAUGUCCAAGCCCGAUGAGCUCCAAGAGGAUGCUCCCAAGUUUGACUUCACCGCCAUCCCUCUUUGUGGCAUUGACGAUGUCGAGUCCUCCACGACUCUUUUUCAAGAUGGUGCGGUGACGACUACGACUACGGAGCCUCUCAAGGAACAUGCUUUGGAGGCGAGCGACUUGGUGACGAGCAAGGAUGAUGCUUCCAUCUUAGGAGGCGAGAGUCAUGAUGUGCCAUCUUCGGCCUUCAUCCACGGCGACGGUGACGAGAUGAUCGAGCAUGGGAUUUUCCCUUCGGUCAUGGAGGAGAGUGAUGAUGUGCCAUCUUCGGCCUUCAUCCAUGGUGACGGCGAUGAGAUGGUUGAGUAUUUCUCUUCGACCACGGCGACGUAUGAUGACUUGAGUGUCUUUAGCCACCAUAUUGAGAGUGAGAGUGACUUCACCACUAGCCCCUUAUAUGAUGUGUUUCCCCAAUUCCCAUGUGAGGAGAGCCACAACCCCCACCACUUGAGUGAGAUGAGUGACCCCACCAUAUGUGAGUUUGAGUGCACCUACCUUGAGGAAGUGAGUGGGCCACCACAUAGAGAGAGUGAGGCCACUAUGAUUUCUAACGACUUAACCUCUACCUCUAUUGUGUCUUCUCAUUUGGUGCUAGGUCCCAUAUAUGAUGACGCGCCGAUUCACGAUGACUACGUCCUUCCUUUGGACAAGACGAUGGCCAUGGUGGAAUAUGAUGCACCCCCCACAUGGUUCCAUCAAGAUGAAGAUGACCACCAUUUGGUCUUUCCCACCUCACCUACACCACUUGAGUGGAAUGACAAAGGUAACAUAGGUGACGGUGAUGCUCUUGUCCCACUAGUGGACAUUCUUGACAUUGAUUGCUUGCAUGAUGUUGAUCAACCUAUUACCAUGCUUCAUGCUAGUAUGAUUUCCUCAUGCGAUGAUUUACCCAUUUAUGAUGAGUAUGAUGAUUGCCAUGUGGAGUCUCUUAGUUGUGAUGCCAUGUUACAUAGGAUUUCUUGUGACAAUUCUUUAGGUCACAUCAUGUUUGACAAUCUGCUUGACUAGUCGUAUGCUAUGCAUGAGAUCCACCAUAUGUCAUAUUUGCAAUCUCAUCAUAGUGACUAUGCAUAUGCCAUUAAAAUUAACCCAAUUUGCACUUAUGGCAUAGAUGACAAGCCCAUGGUUAUUGGCAUUUGUUUUUCUUGUGAUGAUAUUGAUAUGCUCCCUUUGCAUCAUUUAUCUCAUAUGCCAUGCCAUGACCACCUAGUUUCAGAUAUGCAUUGUUUCGGAUGUUGUCCAUAUUCUCCAUAUGAUGUUUCCAAUAUUGCUCAUGAGGAGACCCCCAUAGUUUCCUCUUACAUUUUAGGAGAUUUUGAUUCGUCCCAUUCAUUGCAUGAUCCGAAUACUUGUGUGCACAGUAUGCUCCCCGUGAAUAAAAAUGCUAUUGUUGUGCCACACACUUGCUAUACUUGUAUGCUCAAUUUGCGUCCCCGUCGUGUUAUACAUAACAACUAUUCUUUCAUGAUAGAUGACAUGUUCUUAUACCAUGCAUCAAAUUUCUUUGAGCGAUGCUUAUCUUGUGCUAACUCACACGUGCACAUACACAUCAAGAUGGAUGAUGUGUAUAUUUACCACGCGCACAAUUUCUUUGGUUUGUGUCUCUUUUGUGUAGGUACCCAUGAAUACUUGUCGAACUCACAAUCCCACGAGUUGACAAAACGAGCUCUAGAGAGCAAUGAUGACUUGGGAUCCCAUGGAUUGUCUUUCCCACCGCUCUCUUCACGCAAAGACUUCGCACAUUUAUUCUACAUGGCCCUCACAUGGCUAUGGGUUAUUGUCCAUUACAUAUUUUAUGCCCAUCUUGCCAUGUUCACUUUGCAUGAUAUGCUCAUUCCUAUGCCUUUGCCAUGCAUUUGUGACCCAUGCUUUGCAUUACACGUGAUGAUUGAUUCUACUACUUGUAUGUGUAUUUGCAAGCUUGGUGGAGAUAUCACUUGUUAUUCCCAUGUUUGCCUUAUGACCCAUUCCUAUGAUGAUACUUUGGUCUUGCUUGUGUUCGUGCUUGCGAUAUGUCAUGUGCAUUGCCUAUGCCUAUUAUUUGCACACAUGACAUGAUUGCCAUGAUUUGCUCUAGUGUGUUGCAUCUUCGCACUACUAGCUUGCACGACUUGAUUACUAUGAUUGCUUGCCUUGUUGCAUCGCUGAUGAUUCAUACUUGCUUGUUUUAUGCGGUUGAUGACAACCAUCUACAUGCUUUGCACAUGAUGGUUAUUUCUUCUUGUCAUGUGUCUCCAUGUAUUUCCUCUCUCAUUCUAAAUGAUUUGACAUGUAUUGAGUGCAACAAUGAUUUUCAUCCUUCUAAUGAGAUUGCCCCCAUAGCAUUCUCACAUAUAUUUGGAGAUUUUGACAUAUUCCUUGUGAAGCAUGCUUGUCUUACCUCUUUUCAUCAUAUACCUAGUGCCAUGAAUAUAGCCAUUGUUGCAUCAUAUUAUUCAGCACUUGUGCUUCUAAUGGUUAUGUGCAAGAGAAGAGAACCAUCAUGAUGGAUGAUGUGUUUAUCUACCAUGCGCAUACAUUCUUUGCUUUCUUUUGUGCAUGUGUAGGAUACUUGGACUUUGUGUCGACUUCCAUGUCACGUGAGUUGACCAUUCGAGCUCUUGAGAGCGAGCCUCAUACAUUCGACCAUGACUCGCUUCUACACCAUAUUUCCUACCACUUCGGCAUUAUGAAGGAUGCAUAAGGACACGCCUUCAAGGUGACAUCUUUCUUGAGCAUGGAUAUUGUGGGUCAUACUACUUGUGUUGCUUGCAUCAUGAGACUUAUUGUUCAUCUUGGACUUGAUUGCUCACAAGUUAGAGAUCUUGCUUCGACUUGUCAUUUUCACCAUUCCAUGCAUCAUGAUAUAUAUGCCUUGUGUGUUGCAUCCAAUUCUUGGAUUACUUGCUCCUCUCAUAUGUUUGGUUGCAACAAUGUCAUCACUUCACAUAUGCCAUGUCCCAUUGAUUGCUACAUGCUUGCCUUGAUUGCCUCACACAUGAUGAACAAUUGCUCUUUCCAUUCUGUUGAGUGCCACAAGAUAUUCACUACACCCCAUGCACAUUAUGCUUGGAUUGUCUUGCACUUGACCCAUGUGUUUAGACAUCUCAUUUUAUUUGGUGUUGUGAAUGAUUCUUAUGCCUACCAUAGACUUUUCAUUGAGCAAUUUGUGAAUGCUUGCUAUGACUUUGAGGUAGAUGCUUAUUCGCUUGUCACACAUAUUUGCAUCACUACCUCACAUUUACAUGCUUGUCCCCAUGCUAUAUUUGCUUGUGCUCAAUUUAUGUGCUUACAUGCCAUGUCACAAUCCUUUGUCAAACCAUAUGCUUUGCAUGAUGAUGACACUUGUUGGGUGAAUCACCACUUGAAUGCUUGGUUUUGCACUAACGCUAGCCACAUUUGUUUUUCCAAGUGUUUAUAUUUUUGCUCCUUUUGAAGGAAUCACUACACGGUGCAACAUUGGAGAGUGCCCAUUGCGAGCUUGAAGAUGAUGAGUACUUGGUGAACGUCCACUUCUACACGGCGAAGCCAUCUCUUUCCCAUGGUGAUUUGGUUUUCGAUCCGAGGUCGGAUCUUUCCCAAGGGAGGGGAGAUGAUGCGGAGCAUCCUAUGGACAUCACCAUGUCAAGAGUCCGUUCGGCGAGUGACACGUGCGACAUCUACUUCACAUACACAAAGGUGAAUCAUCUCCUUUACACGUGCUCACUUGACACCUUUGAGGAUGGUAUACUACUUGACACUCCUCCCGUGUGCAUGCAUAGGUAUUGUCGGAGCUUCACGGAUGUCGAGGAGGAGUGCAAGCGCCAAGAAACAACUACAACAUCCACGAGGGAAGCCUAGAAGCGACGACGGAAGAAGAUGGAGCUGCUGACGCUAAAGCGUCCGGACAUCCGGCGCCUGUGCAGCCGCCCAGGAGCUGCACCAACAGAAGGCCAAGAGCUUCAGCGGCCGGAUAUCCGGCGCCUCAGCAACGCCCGGACAUCCGGCGACCAAACCCGGAAAUCUGACGACGACUAUCCAGAGAAGUCUGGAAUGUCCUGUUCCACGCCGGACAUCCGGCCCAUGCCCCGGACAUCCGGCCUCCCACGAACGGCCGGACAUCCGGCCCCCAUCCCGGACAUCCGGCGCAUGCCUGCGCGCAGAGUCGGGCCAAAGGCCCAUGUAUCCCUCUUUCCCACUUACCCCUUCAUGGCUUAAACUAUAUAUACUCCCCCACCUCCUCCUAGUUAGGGUCAGCAAAGGAUUAGCUCAUUUGAGAUAGAGCUUUGCUCAUCCAUACGGAUCUACUCCACAAGAGAGACCGCGGCCCCUCUACGGAGAAGAUCCCCCUUGCAUUCAAGACCCCCUCUUGUGUGGCCCCCUUCAAGACCUUCUCAUGGAGAUGAACCUUACGUUGUAUCUUUUCCUUUGUUGUUCAUGUACCUUGUGGAUCUUGUGUGUUUGAUUGUCUAGUCGGUGUGUGAAUGGACUUGUUCUUGAGUGUUUCCCCUUGUGAUUUCUCUCCGUUCUUCCCCAUGUUCUUCGCGGGAUCCGCUCCUUUAGUGAAAGAUCGGCUGUAUAGGGUUCGACCCUACAUCAUCUUGGUAUCAUGAGCCACGUUGAUCAUGAUUUCGGAGCCUCCCCGUUGUGUUUUCUAGCCUAGUUUUGUUGAUAUUGUCCCAAAUUCAAAAAUUCCCCACAAAAAUAGCCCCCCAAUUUUUUUGUGAUUUGUUGGUUUGAUGAUGUUUUGUUGAUUUUGAUCCAUGGAUUUGCUUGGUUUCAAGUGGAUCUAGCAUAUCCCCAAGUUUCCCCACUUUCCAUCCACGAAAUAUCUCCAAUUUUGCCCCUGAAAUCAUCCAUUUCCGCCCAAAAUCGAGUUUCGAAGUCCAAAUCCCGAUCUGGAAUCGUCGGGCCGGACAUCCAGGCCAUCUGGCCGGACAUCCGGGCCCCAAGCCGGACAUCCGGAUCCUAGAGCGCAAAAUCGUGCAAGUUUCUGGACAUCAGGUCCCCGAUAUCUGGCCCCGACCCCUGGAGCAUCAGCCUCCUGUGUUUCACCGUUUUGCCCAUAAUUUUCACAUCCGGAGUCCGAUUUUCGCGUUCUUUAGCUCGUUGAGUAGCUAUUGACAUCCUAUAUCCAUCUAGAUAGGUUACGUCACCAUUUGACUCCAUCAAAUGUUUGGCACUUUGGCAUCUUUUCCUAGGGUUUCCACCACAACUUCCGCAUAAACACCACCGACUUCCGCAACCUAACACAUUUUGUUCUCCUUAGAAUUUGCGGUUGUUUGAGUUGUGAUUCGAGUCUCCUAAGGUGUUUAGGCUACUUAGGGACCAUUGCUUCUUCAUCAACUACCACCAUAACUUCCUCUUAGGCUUACCCACCAUACACUUCCACCACCCCAACUUAACCCAAUUUUGUUUGUGCUGUGAGUUGUGUCUCCUAAGGUGUUUCGACUACUUAGGGACCGUGCUUCCAACUCCGACACCGUGUAUUGUCCACGGCCUCAACUUACCCUCCACUUCCGCAUUACGUACUCCAAACCCCAUCAUUGCAUGUCCGCAAUCCCAUUGAGUUUCCGCAAAACCACCACCGCUUUCCGCUACCACCAUUUAACAUUUGCCUUUGAGAUUUUGAGUUCGCGGUUUUUCCGUUUCCUAAGGUGUUUCGGCUACUUAGGGACGAGUCUCCAUCAUCUUGGUAUCUACAUCAAGAACACCGCCACUCAUCAUCGCCUCGGACGGUAACCUUCAUAUCAUCUUGGUAUCGUGGUAUCCCUCCAUUGUAUAUCCCCUUGCCAUUGCAUUGUUAACCCCUGGCCCAUUUUGCGUCACUUGCCUAUCGAGACUAGCCAUUUAAGUAUCGUCGGCAACUUUACUUGUGCACAUUAGUGAUCUACACCUUCCAUUGCAUACAUACCAUAUCAUAUUGGUAUCAUAUCAUCCCUUGUGUCACAAGAUUGUUCCCGCAUAUACACAAUUGCUAUCUUGGUUUGUGCAUUUCGCAUAAGUGGCCAUAUCAAAAAAAAGAAUAAGCUUUUAAGCAAAGAAAAAGAGAGCAAAGAGCGUGUAAGCAAUAGCCAUAGCAUCAUACUACCUUGCAUAAGAUUGUCAUAUCCGAUCAUCUUGGAUCAUCUUGAGAGAAACACCGGGAACCAUACAUAUAUAGCAUAUUUUGGAUAGAAAGUUUAUCCAUUUUGCAUCUUAUAGAUUGUGCACAAGUGUCGUAUCCGCCUAUUGAGCAAUCGUGCUAGCGUCUCUCUUGAGUUGUGCAACACGAGCGUUUUCCAUGGACUCCACAUUUUGUGCUCAUUCCUUGGUUACACGGCCCCAUUUAUCUAUCUGUGUGUGUGUUUCCGUGUGCCACAUAUUGCUAUUGGUCUACUUGUUUCACUUGCGAAUUUGUGAAUCUCUUUCAACAUUAUUGACUCUUGCUAACAUUUUGCAUUAAAUUUUUGUGCCACUAUCCUCACCAAGCUACUCCAUAAGCUUUAGCUUGUAGGUGUGAGUGAACAAGUCCGGUACCAAUUCCACUAUUCUUUCAUCUUACAUUGAGUGAACCGGGAUACAUCCUCAACUUUGGGAAAUGGUAACUUGGUAUUGUUUAUCUCAUUUCCUACUCACCUCUACUCGAGUCUUGUGAUGGAUAGGCAAGGCAUUUCACCUUCGGUCUACAACAACAACGACGAGUUCGAUGCCAAGAAAAACUCCACCGACGCCAAGAUGCAAGCUCAAAUGGAGGAGAUUAAAGCCCUCAUCAAGUCCUACAAGCGAUCUUCCUCAUCUUCGAGAAGACGCUCAAGUACACAUGCUUCCGAGCUACCAUCUCCGGCAAGGUCACAUCAGCAUCGACACCAUCACCAACAAGAACGUGAAGGUCAAGAGCUCAACAACAACAACCGCUCAACGACUUCACCAUCUCCCUUGGCAUCUUCGCCAAGCGACUUCAAUGCAUCUUUGCCUACGGACAUACGGCAUCUUCGCCUACAAGCACCUCAAGACUACGCUCAAGAGAAGCUCCCCAAGCUCAAGUCCGCGACUUCCACGAGCUACUACGACCUCGACACCGACCACAAGAUUCCUUGCUAUGGGACUCAAGGACCCAAGGAGUAUCUCGAGUGGGAGCGCAUAAUGGACGACUACCUCAAGCUACAUCAAGUUCCUCCCGAAGAUCAAGUGAAGUGCGCCACAACGAACUUCCACGACUACGCGUCCACAUGGUGGCUUCACACACCUUCGGAGAGCUACGACAUGAGUUGGCCCAAGCCGAAGAGAGAUUUGCGGUGAGAGUUUGUGGCUCCAACCUACACGGAACAACUUCUACGCCAAUUGGAGAACACCGCCCAAGGAUCCAAGUCCAUCGACGAGUAAUUCAAGGAGAUGAAGCAUGCCUUGCGACGAGCCGGCGUGGACAACCCCAUGUCAAUGAAGUUCCACUUCAUGAUGGGACUGACCAAUGACAUCUCCAAGACUAUCUUCCUCGAGAACUACAAGUCCCUCGACGACAACUACAUUGGUGCUCUCAAGGCGGAACAAGAACUCAUGAAGGCCAAGGCUUCUCCACCCCAAGCACACUUCUCGAAGACCAAGCUCAAAGAUGACGAGCAUGAGGCUAGUACAACCAAGAUGUCCAAGCCCGAUGAGCUCCAAGAGGAUGCUCCCAAGUUUGACUUCACCGCCAUCCCUCUUUGUGGCAUUGACGAUGUCGAGUCCUCCACGACUCUUUUUCAAGAUGGUGCGGUGACGACUACGACUACGGAGCCUCUCAAGGAACAUGCUUUGGAGGCGAGCGACUUGGUGACGAGCAAGGAUGAUGCUUCCAUCUUAGGAGGCGAGAGUCAUGAUGUGCCAUCUUCGGCCUUCAUCCACGGCGACGGUGACGAGAUGAUCGAGCAUGGGAUUUUCCCUUCGGUCAUGGAGGAGAGUGAUGAUGUGCCAUCUUCGGCCUUCAUCCAUGGUGAUGGCGAUGAGAUGGUUGAGUAUUUCUCUUCGACCACGGCGACGUAUGAUGACUUGAGUGUCUUUAGCCACCAUAUUGAGAGUGAGAGUGACUUCACCACUAGCCCCUUAUAUGAUGUGUUUCCCCAAUUCCCAUGUGAGGAGAGCCACAACCCCCACCACUUGAGUGAGAUGAGUGACCCCACCAUAUGUGAGUUUGAGUGCACCUACCUUGAGGAAGUGAGUGGGCCACCACAUAGAGAGAGUGAGGCCACUAUGAUUUCUAACGACUUAACCUCUACCUCUAUUGUGUCUUCUCAUUUGGUGCUAGGUCCCAUAUAUGAUGACGCGCCGAUUCACGAUGACUACGUCCUUCCUUUGGACAAGACGAUGGCCAUGGUGGAAUAUGAUGCACCCCCCACAUGGUUCCAUCAAGAUGAAGAUGACCACCAUUUGGUCUUUCCCACCUCACCUACACCACUUGAGUGGAAUGACAAAGGUAACAUAGGUGACGGUGAUGCUCUUGUCGCACUAGUGGACAUUCUUGACAUUGAUUGCUUGCAUGAUGUUGAUCAACCUAUUACCAUGCUUCAUGCUAGUAUGAUUUCCUCAUGCGAUGAUUUACCCAUUUAUGAUGAGUAUGAUGAUUGCCAUGUGGAGUCUCUUAGUUGUGAUGCCAUGUUACAUAGGAUUUCUUGUGACAAUUCUUUAGGUCACAUCAUGUUUGACAAUCUGCUUGACUAGUCGUAUGCUAUGCAUGAGAUCCACCAUAUGUCAUAUUUGCAAUCUCAUCAUAGUGACUAUGCAUAUGGCAUUAAAAUUAACCCAAUUUGCACUUAUGGCAUAGAUGACAAGCCCAUGGUUAUUGGCAUUUGUUUUUCUUGUGAUGAUAUUGAUAUGCUCCCUUUGCAUCAUUUAUCUCAUAUGCCAUGCCAUGACCACCUAGUUUCAGAUAUGCAUUGUUUCGGAUGUUGUCCAUUUUCUCCAUAUGAUGUUUCCAAUAUUGCUCAUGAGGAGACCCCCAUAGUUUCCUCUUACAUUUUAGGAGAUUUUGAUUCGUCCCAUUCAUUGCAUGAUCCGAAUACUUGUGUGCACAGUAUGCUCCCCGUGAAUAAAAAUGCUAUUGUUGUGCCACACACUUGCUAUACUUGUAUGCUCAAUUUGCGUCCCCGUCGUGUUAUACAUAACAACUAUUCUUUCAUGAUAGAUGACAUGUUCUUAUACCAUGCAUCAAAUUUCUUUGAGCGAUGCUUAUCUUGUGCUAACUCACACGUGCACAUACACAUCAAGAUGGAUGAUGUGUAUAUUUACCACGCGCACAAUUUCUUUGGUUUGUGUCUCUUUUGUGUAGGUACCCAUGAAUACUUGUCGAACUCACAAUCCCACGAGUUGACAAAACGAGCUCUAGAGAGCAAUGAUGACUUGGGAUCCCAUGGAUUGUCUUUCCCACCGCUCUCUUCACGCAAAGACUUCGCACAUUUAUUCUACAUGGCCCUCACAUGGCUAUGGGUUAUUGUCCAUUACAUAUUUUAUGCCCAUCUUGCCAUGUUCACUUUGCAUGAUAUGCUCAUUCCUAUGCCUUUGCCAUGCAUUUGUGACCCAUGCUUUGCAUUACACGUGAUGAUUGAUUCUACUACUUGUAUGUGUAUUUGCAAGCUUGGUGGAGAUAUCACUUGUUAUUCCCAUGUUUGCCUUAUGACCCAUUCCUAUGAUGAUACUUUGGUCUUGCUUGUGUUCGUGCUUGCGAUAUGUCAUGUGCAUUGCCUAUGCCUAUUAUUUGCACACAUGACAUGAUUGCCAUGAUUUGCUCUAGUGUGUUGCAUCUUCGCACUACUAGCUUGCAUGACUUGAUUAGUAUGAUUUCUUGCCUUGUUGCAUCGCUGAUGAUUCAUACUUGCUUGUUUUAUGCGGUUGAUGACAACCAUCUACAUGCUUUGCACAUUAUGGUUAUUUCUUCUUGUCAUGUGUCUCCAUGUAUUUCCUCUCUCAUUCUAGAUGAUUUGACAUGUAUUGAGUGCAACAAUGAUUUUCAUCCUUCUAAUGAGAUUGCCCCCAUAGCAUUCUCACAUAUAUUUGGAGAUUUUGACAUAUUCCUUGUGAAGCAUGCUUGUCUUACCUCUUUGCAUCAUAUACCUAGUGCCAUGAAUAUAGCCAUUGUUGCAUCAUAUUAUUCAUGCACUUGUGCUUCUAAUGGUUAUGUGCAAGAGAAGAGAACCAUCAUGAUGGAUGAUGUGUUUAUCUACCAUGCGCAUACAUUCUUUGCUUUCUUUUGUGCAUGUGUAGGAUACUUGGACUUUGUGUCGACUUCCAUGUCACGUGAGUUGAUUCGAGCUCUUGAGAGCGAGCCUCAUACAUUCGACCAUGACUCGCUUCUACACCAUAUUUCCUACCACUUCGGCAUUAUGAAGGAUGCAUAAGGACACGCCUUCAAGGUGACAUCUUUCUUGAGCAUGGAUAUUGUGGGUCAUACUACUUGUGUUGCUUGCAUCAUGAGACUUAUUGUUCAUCUUGGACUUGAUUGCUCACAAGUUAGAGAUCUUGCUUCGACUUGUCAUUUUCACCAUUCCAUGCAUCAUGAUAUAUAUGCCUUGUGUGUUGCAUCCAAUUCUUGGAUUACUUGCUCCUCUCAUAUGUUUGGUUGCAACAAUGUCAUCACUUCACAUAUGCCAUGUCCCAUUGAUUGCUACAUGCUUGCCUUGAUUGCCUCACACAUGAUGAACAAUUGCUCUUUCCAUUCUGUUGAGUGCCACAAGAUAUUCACUACACCCCAUGCACAUUAUGCUUGGAUUGUCUUGCACUUGACCCAUGUGUUUAGACAUCUCAUUUUAUUUGGUGUUGUGAAUGAUUCUUAUGCCUACCAUAGACUUUUCAUUGAGCAAUUUGUGAAUGCUUGCUAUGACUUUGAGGUAGAUGCUUAUUCGCUUGUCACACAUAUUUGCAUCACUACCUCACAUUUACAUGCUUGUCCCCAUGCUAUAUUUGCUUGUGCUCAAUUUAUGUGCUUACAUGCCAUGUCACAAUCCUUUGUCAAACCAUAUGCUUUGCAUGAUGAUGACACUUGUUGGGUGAAUCACCACUUGAAUGCUUGGUUUUGCACUAACGCUAGCCACAUUUGUUUUUCCAAGUGUUUAUAUUUUUGCUCCUUUUGAAGGAAUCACUACACGGUGCAACAUUGGAGAGUGCCCAUUGCGAGCUUGAAGAUGAUGAGUACUUGGUGAACGUCCACUUCUACACGGCGAAGCCAUCUCUUUCCCAUGGUGAUUUGGUUUUCGAUCCGAGGUCGGAUCUUUCCCAAGGGAGGGGAGAUGAUGCGGAGCAUCCUAUGGACAUCACCAUGUCAAGAGUCCGUUCGGCGAGUGACACGUGCGACAUCUACUUCACAUACACAAAGGUGAAUCAUCUCCUUUACACGUGCUCACUUGACACCUUUGAGGAUGGUAUACUACUUGACACUCCUCCCGUGUGCAUGCAUAGGUAUUGUCGGAGCUUCACGGAUGUCGAGGAGGAGUGCAAGCGCCAAGAAACAACUACAACAUCCGCGAGGGAAGCCUAGAAGCGAUGACGGAAGAAGAUGGAGCUGCUGACGCUAAAGCGUCCGGACAUCCGGCGCCUGUGCAGCCGCCCAGGAGCUGCACCAACAGAAGGCCAAGAGCUUCAGCGGCCGGACAUCCGGCGCCUCAGCAACGCCCGGACAUCCGGCGACCAAACCCGGAAAUCUGACGACGACUAUCCAGAGAAGUCUGGAAUGUCCUGUUCCACGCCGGACAUCCGGCCCAUGCCCCGGACAUCCGGCCUCCCACGAACGGCCGGACAUCCGGCCCCCAUCCCGGACAUCCGGCACAUGCCUGCGCGCAGAGUCGGGCCAAAGGCCCAUGUAUCCCUCUUUCCCACUUACCCCUUCAUGGCUGAGACUAUAUAUACUCCCCCACCUCCUCCUAGUUAGGGUCAGCAAAGGAUUAGCUCAUUUGAGAUAGAGCUUUGCUCAUCCAUACGGAUCUACUCCACAAGAGAGACCGCGGCCCCUCUACGGAGAAGAUCCCCCUUGCAUUCAAGACCCCCUCUUGUGUGGCCCCCUUCAAGACCUCCUCAUGGAGAUGAACCUUACGUUGUAUCUUUUACUUUGUUGUUCAUGUACCUUGUGGAUCUUGUGUGUUUGAUUGUCUAGUCGGUGUGUGACUGGACUUGUUCUUGAGUGUUUCCCCUUGUGAUUUCUCUCCGUUCUUCCCCAUGUUCUUCGCGGGAUCCGCUCCUUUAGUGAAAGAUCGGCCGUAUAGGGUUCGACCCUACAUCAUCUUGGUAUCAUGAGCCACGUUGAUCAUGAUUUCGGAGCCUCCCCGUUGUGUUUUCUAUCCUAGUUUUGUUGAUAUUGUCCCAAAUUCAAAAAUUCCCCAAAAAAUAGCCCCCCAAUUUUUUUGUGAUUUGUUGGUUUGAUGAUGUUUUGUUGAUUUUGAUCCAUGGAUUUGCUUGGUUUCAAGUGGAUCUAGCAUAUCCCCAAGUUUCCCCACUUUCCAUCCACGAAAUAUCUCUAAUUUUGCCCCUGAAAUCAUCCAUUUCCGCCCAAAAUCGAGUUUCGAAGUCCAAAUCCCGAUCUGGAAUCGUCGGGCUGGACAUCCAGGCCAUCUGGCCGGACAUCCGGGCCCCAAGCCGGACAUCCAAAUCCUAGAGCGCAAAAUCGUGCAAGUGUCUGGACAUCAGGUCCCCGAUAUCUGGCCCCGACCCCUGGAGCAUCAGCCUCCUGUGUUUCACCGUUUUGCCCAUAAUUUUCACAUCCGGAGUCCGAUUUUCGCGUUCUUUAGCUCGUUGAGUAGCUAUUGACAUCCUAUAUCCAUCUAGAUAGGUUACGUCACCAUUUGACUCCAUCAAAUGUUUGGCACUUUGGCAUCUUUUCCUAGGGUUUCCACCACAACUUCCGCAUAAACACCACCGACUUCCGCAACCUAACACAUUUUGUUCUCCUUAGCAUUUGUGGUUGUUUGAGUUGUGAUUCGAGUCUCCUAAGGUGUUUAGGCUACUUAGGGACCAUUGCUUCUUCAUCAAAUACCACCAUAACUUCCGCUUAGGCUUACCCACCAUACACUUCCGCCACCCCAACUUAACCCAAUUUUGUUUGUGCUGUGAGUUGUGUCUCCUAAGGUGUUUCGACUACUUAGGGACCGUGCUUCCAACUCCGACACCGUGUAUUGUCCACCACCUCACCUUACCCUCCACUUCCGCAUUUCGUACUCCAAACCCCAUCAUUGCAUGUCCGCAAUCCCAUUGAGUUUCCGCAAAACCACCACCGCUUUCCGCUACCACCAUUUAACAUUUGCCUUUGAGAUUUUGAGUUCGCGGUUUUUCCGUUUCCUAAGGUGUUUCGGCUACUUAGGGACGAGUCUCCAUCAUCUUGGUAUCUACAUCAAGAACACCGCCACUCAUCAUCGCCUCGGACGGUAACCUCCAUAUCAUCUUGGUAUCGUGGUAUCCCUCCAUUGUAUAUCCCCUUGCCAUUGCAUUGUUAACCCCUGGCCCAUUUUGCGUCACUUGCCUAUCGAGACUAGCCAUUUAAGUAUCGUCGGCAAUGUUACUUGUGCACAUUAGUGAUCUACACCUUCCAUUGCAUACAUACCAUAUCAUAUUGGUAUCAUAUCAUCCCUUGUGUCACAAGAUUGUUCCCGCAUAUACACAAUUGCUAUCUUGGUUUGUGCAUUUCGCAUAAGUGGCCAUAUCAAAAAAAAGAAUAAGCUUUUAAGCAAAGAAAAAGAGAGCAAAGAGCGUGUAAGCAAUAGCCAUAGCAUCAUACUACCUUGCAUAAGAUUGUCAUAUCCGAUCAUCUUGGAUCAUCUUGAGAGAAACACCGGGAACCAUACAUAUAUAGCAUAUUUGGGAUAGAAAGUUUAUCCAUUUUGCAUCUUAUAGAUUGUGCACAAGUGUCGUAUCCGCCUAUUGAGCAAUCGUGCUAGCGUCUCUCUUGAGUUGUGCAACACGAGCGUUUUCCGUGGACUCCACAUUUUGUGCUCAUUCCUUGGUUACACGGCCCCAUUUAUCUAUCCGUGUGUGUGUUUCCGUGUGCCACAUAUUGCUAUUGGUCUACUUGUUUCACUUGCGAAUUUGUGAAUCUCUUUCAACAUUAUUGACUCUUGCUAACAUUUUGCAUUAAAUUUUUGUGCCACUAUCCUCACCAAGCUACUCCAUAAGCUUUAGCUUGUUGGUGUGAGUGAACAAGUCCGGUACCAAUUCCACUAUUCUUUCAUCUUACAUUGAGUGAAACGGGAUACAUCCUCAACUUUGGGAAAUGGUAACUUGGUAUUGUUUAUCUCAUUUCCUACUCACCUCUACUCGAGUCUUGUGAUGGAUAGGCAAGGCAUUUCACCUUCGGUCUACAACAACAACGACGAGUUCGAUGCCAAGAAAAACUCCACCGACGCCAAGAUGCAAGCUCAAAUGGAGGAGAUUAAAGCCCUCAUCAAGUCCUACAAGCGAUCUUCCUCAUCUUCGAGAAGACGCUCAAGUACACAUGCUUCCGAGCUACCAUCUCCGGCAAGGUCACAUCAGCAUCGACACCAUCACCAACAAGAACGUGAAGGUCAAGAGCUCAACAACAACAACCGCUCAACGACUUCACCAUCUCCCUUGGCAUCUUCGCCAAGCGACUUCAAUGCAUCUUCGCCUACGGACAUACGGCAUCUUCGCCUACAAGCACCUCAAGACUACGCUCAAGAGAAGCUCCCCAAGCUCAAGUCCGCGACUUCCAUGAGCUACUACGACCUCGACACCGACCACAAGAUUCCUUUCUAUGGGACUCAAGAACCCAAGGAGUAUCUCGAGUGGGAGCGCCUAAUGGACGACUACCUCAAGCUACAUCAAGUUCCUCCUGAAGAUCAAGUGAAGUGCGCCACAACGAACUUCCACGACUACGCGUCCACAUGGUGGCUUCACACACCUUCGGAGAGCUACGACAUGAGUUGGCCCAAGCCGAAUAGAGAUUUGCGGUGAGAGUUUGUAGCUCCAACCUACACGGAACAACUUCUACGCCAAUUGGAGAACACCGCCCAAGGAUCCAAGUCCAUCGACGAGUAAUUCAAGGAGAUGAAGCAUGCCUUGCGACGAGCCGGCGUGGACAACCCCAUGUCAAUGAAGUUCCACUUCAUGAUGGGACUGACCAAUGACAUCUCCAAGACUAUCUUCCUCGAGAACUACAAGUCCCUCGACGACAACUACAUUGGUGCUCUCAAGGCGGAACAAGAACUCAUGAAGGCCAAGGCUUCUCCACCCCAAGCACACUUCUCGAAGACCAAGCUCAAAGAUGACGAGCAUGAGGCUAGUACAACCAAGAUGUCCAAGCCCGAUGAGCUCCAAGAGGAUGCUCCCAAGUUUGACUUCACCGCCAUCCCUCUUUGUGGCAUUGACGAUGUCGAGUCCUCCACGACUCUUUUUCAAGAUGGUGCGGUGACGACUACGACUACGGAGCCUCUCAAGGAACAUGCUUUGGAGGCUCACAAGUUCGACUUCACCGCCAUCCCUCUUUGUGGCAUUGACGAUGCCGAGUCCUCCACGACUCUUUUUCAAGAUGGUGCGGCGACGAUUACGACUACGGAGCCCCUCAUGGGCCUCACCCAGCCCACCCCGGGUGCCCGGCCAACCGGCCCCGGGUGCUCAGCCUACACCACCCCAGCCACCUACGGCCACCCCGGGUGCCCGGGCCUAGGACCCCUGGGUGCCCGGUCCCCCUUCUCCAGGCGGCUCUGACCGAGUGCCCGGCCGGUUCUACCCCGGGUGCCCGGACUCCUCCGGAACAGCCCGUGUGUUUUUGGUCACUUGACCCUUGUACCCCUCUCUCCCUCUUGUUGCGUCCCUAGUCUUUAAGUACUCAUCUCCUAGGUCUUUUGGAAGUAUAGAAAAGUAUUUAGAACAUCAAAGAGAGCUUUGCUCCUUGUAUCCCCUCCUCUUGGAGAUCAAGCCCCUAUCUAGGGAAGAAUCCUUGGGAUUAUCAAGCCUUCCUCUUGGAGAAGAUCAAGAUCAAGACCUCACCUAGUGGGAAGAACUUACCUAGUGCUAUUUUCCUUGAAUUGUUCAUGUAAUCUUGUGGAUCUCAUGUAUUCUACUCUAGUGUAUGUGAUAUUUGGGUUUGUUUGAGUGUUUUGUUCCUUGUGUUCUUGAGUGUUCUUCCUCUUUUCCCCCUCCAAGUGUGAAAAGAUCCCCUCUAGGGUUUCACCCUACAACAAGAAGCCUUGGCGUUCGUGAGUUCUUGUUUCGCCUUGAGAGCACCAAUGUAGUAGUCGUCAAGGAACUUGUAGUUCUUGAGGAAGAUAGUCUUAGAGAUGUCGUUGUGCAAUCCCAUCAUGAAGUGGAACUUCAUCGAAACGGGUUCGUCCAUGCCGGAUCGUCGCAAGGCAUUCUUCAUCUCCUUGAAGUACGCAUCGAUGGACUUGGAUCCUUGGAUGGUGUUCUCCAAUUGUCGUAGAAGUUGUUCCGUGUAGGUUGGAGGCACGAACUCACGCCGCAUAGCUCUCUUCGUCUUGGGCCAACUCAUGUCGUCGCUCUCCGAAGGUGUGUGAAGCCACCAUGUCGAUGCAUAGUCGUGGAAGUUUCUUGUGGCGCACUUCACUUGAUCUUCGGGAAGGACUUGAUGUGGCUUGAUGUAGUCGUCCAUUAGGCGCUCCCACUCGAGAUACUCCUCGGGUUCUUGAGUCCCAUAGAAAGGAAUCUUUUGGUCGGUGUCGAGGUCGUAGUGGCUCGUGGAAGUCGCGGACUUGAGCUUGGGGAGCUUCUCGUGAGAGUAGUCUUGGGGUGCUUGUAGGCGAAGAUGUUGUAUGUUCGUAGGCGAAGAUGCCCUGAAGUCGCUUGGAAAAGAUGCUAAGGGAGAUGGUGAAGUCGAUGAGCGGUUGUUGGUGUUGAGCUCUUGACCUUCACAUCCUUGUCGGUGUUGGUGUCAAUACCGAUGUGAUCUUGCCGGAGAUGGUAGCUCGGAAGCAUGUGCACUAGAGCAUCUUCUCGAAGAUGAGGAAGAUCUCUUGCGGGACUUGAUGAGGGCCUUGAUCUCUUCCAUUUGAGCAUCCAUCUUGGCAUCAAAGUUGUUGUUCAUGGCACCUAACUCGUCGUUGUUAUUGUAGACCGAAGGCGAAAUGCCUUGCCUAUCCAUCACAAGACUUGAGUAGAGGUGGGUAGGAAAUGAGAUAAACAAUACCAAGUUACCUUCUCCCAAAAUUGAGGAUGUGUCCCGUUUCACUCAAUGUGAGAUGAAAGAAUAGUGGAAUUGGUACCGGACUUGUUCACUCAAACCUAUCAAGUAGAGCUUAUGGAGUGGCUCGGUGAGGAUAGUGGCACAAAAAAUUGAUGCAAAAUGUAUAGCAAGAGUCAAUAAUGUUGAAAGAGAUUCACAAAUUUGCAAGUGAAACAAGUGGACCAAUAGCAAUGAAUGGCACACGGAAACGCACACACAGAUAGAUAAAUGGGGCCGUGCAAUCAAGGAAUGAGCACAAAAUGUGGAAUCCAUGGAAAACGCUCGUGUUGCACAACUCAAGAGAGACGCUAGCACGAUUGCUCAAUAGGCGAAUACGACACUUAUGCACAACCUAUAAGAUGCCAAAUGUAUCAACUUUAUAUCCCAAGUAUGCUAUGUAUGUAUGGUUCCCGGUGUUUCCCAAGAUGGUCCAAGAUGAUCGGAUAUGACAAUCCUAUGUGCAAUGUGGUAUGAUGCUAUGGCUCUUGCUUACAAGCUUCUUUACUCUUUCUCUUUUGCUUAAAAGCUUAUUCUUUUUUUUUGAUAUGGCCACAAUGCAAAAUGCACAAACCAAGAUAGCAAUUGCGUAUAUACGGGAACAAUCUUGUGACACAAGGGAUGAUAUGAUGAUACCAAUAUGAUAUGGUAUGUAUGCGAUGGACGGGUGGAUCACUAAUGUGCACAAGUAACGUUGCCGGCAAUACUCAAAUGGCUAGUCUCGAUAGGCAAGUAACAUAAAAUGGGCUAGGGGUUAUCAAUGCUAUUGCAAGGGGAAUGUACAAUGAUGUCGUCGAGGUUACCGUCCUUGUACGAUGAUGACGUCAUGCCAAUGAUGAGUGGCGGUGUUCUCGAUGUCGUACUGUUCCUAAUUAGCUGAAAUACCUUAGGAAACGGAAAAACCGAGAACUCAAAAUCUCAAAUGUCAAAUGGUGGUAGCGGAAAGCGGUGGUGGUUGCGGAAGUAUUGGUGGAAACCUGGUUAAAAUGGGUUAAGGUGGUGGAAGGGUAUGAUGGGCUAUACACGGUGUUGUAGUCAGAAGCACGGUCCCUAAGUAGCCGAAACACCUUAGGAGACACAACUCACAACACAAACAAAUUUGGGUUAAGUUGGGGUGGCGGAAGUGUAUGGUGGGCAAGCCUAUGCGGAAGUGGUGGUGGUGGUUGAUGAAUAAGCAACCGUCCCUAAUUAGCCGAAACACCUUAGGAGGCACAAGUUACAACUCAAACAACCACAUAUGAAAUGGGGGACAAAAUCGGUUAGGUUGCGGAAGUCGGCGGUGGUAAUGUAGAUGAUAUGGUGGUGGCCCUAGGCCAAGAUGCCAAAGUUCCAAAUAUUUGAUAGAGUCAAAUGAUGUAGGUGGUAUUUUUGUGGGAUGGAGGAUGCCAAUAGCUUCAAAACAAACUAAAGAACGUCAAAAUCAGACUCCCGAUGAAUUAGUUAUGGCCGAAACAAGAAUUCAACCGAGUCAGUGUCAGGGUUACCCGGACAUCCGGGAGUAGGUCCGGAUGAUCCGGGUUCGUCAACCGGAUUUCUUUCACGUGGGGUGUCCGGACAUCCGGGAGAUGGUCCAGCUGAUCCGGGUGGAUCCGGAUGAUCCGGGAGUACUUCCAGAUGAUCCGGCCAGGUCAAACUGCUCGGGAUUUCCUCUCGGGGACAAAUUUUUGGGCGGAAAUGGAUGAUUUUCGGGGCAAAAAUGAGGAGAUUUCGUGGAUGGAAUGUGAGGAAACUUGGGGAGAUGUUAGAUCCACUCGAAACCAAGCAAAUCCAUGGAUCAAAAUCAACAAAACAUCAUCAAACCGACAAAUCACAAAAAAAAUUAUGCGCUAUUUUUGGUGGGGAUUUUCAAAAUUUAGGAUGAAAUCAAGCAAAAGAAGGCUAGAAAAUGGUUGGGGGACUCCAAAUUCGUGAUAAACGUGGCUCAUGAUACCAAUAUGAUAUAGGGUGGUACCCCAGAUGGCCGAUCUUUCACGAAAUGGAGGGGAUCCCGUGAAGAACAUGAAGAACACGAGGGGAAAACGAGAGGAACACUUGAUGAGGACAUCAAUACCAUUGUUACACCCACAGCCCCUGCUACUAUACAUACUGGACCGAUUACUAGAGCUCGCGCACGCCAAUUAAUUUACCAGGUACUUUCGUUUCUUGGUAAUGAUUCUAAUGUUCAUGAGAAUAUGAUGCUGCCUAAAUUGGAUACAUUUGUUUUGCUUACAAAUGAAGGGCCUAGAUUGGAGAAGGAUGAACAUUGGAGUAAGAACAAGCAUGGAGUUGAUGGCAUGCGCAAGGGAGACAAGAACAGAGUUUCAAGUGAUGAUUUCAGGACUAUGAAGCCACCAUAAUGAGGGCAUGAAGCCUUGGACGAAAUAUACAAGAUGCCACUUCAUAAUUUUCGUCUAGAGGCUAUUCUAGGUGUUGUGUCACUUUAUUUUUAGACUUUGGGUUUUGUUUAGAUUAAAGUUCGCCAUAGCUGCAACUUCGAGUUCUUCGUUUGUGUUCAACAACCAGACAAAGACGUCACAAAACCCCACCUUGAUCAAUAAAGCUUUCCUCUUAUAUUCGCAAUAUCCAGAUUGCAAUCUUAGUUUCUUGCUUGUUCUUCGUUUGCCUGCAGGAAACAGAUCUUCGUGGUCAGGUUGAUCGUGCUCUGGCGUGGUCAAUAACCUCUCGGAGUUGGUUUAGCGAUUGCUAAGGCGCGACGUCCUCGCACGUUCGUAGUAGGAUCUUCAAAGUCGACUUCCUCCAAAACGAUAGCCACCUUCUCAUCGAAAGACGGGACACCUUUGCCUCUAUCAAGUGGUAUCAGAUUUCCAGGUUGCUCGGUGAGAUUUUAUAGUUUUUUGUAGUUUUGGUCGAGUCUGUUCUUCAUACCUAUAGUCCACGAAAAAGCCACACACAAAAAAUUAGGGUUAGUUCAUCAUAUCCGAACCAAUCUGAGCCUUUGCAUAGUCUUUUCAGUAUUUUGCUUUGUUGAAUUUGCGGUUGCAUCAUCGUGUCAAGUUGCUGGUCUUAGCGUCUAGUCUUUUAGAGUUUGGAGUUCUGGUCAUAAGUUGUCACGCCGCCACCGCACCAUCAUCAUCGCCCCUGCCACCUACCACCACCGCUUAUCCGCCACCGCUCUGAAUCCGUAUCCAUAUACCACCACCAAUCCGUAUCCAUAUACCACCACCGAUCCAUAUCCAUAUACUACCACCGCUGCCACCACCUCUGCCCUAUACCACCACCAUAUAUCCACCACAAAUCUGAGUUCCUUUCAUAUUAGGUUUGUUUUCGAGAUCCAUCUAGUUUCCGAUUUGUGUUUCCUUGCCUGAGUAGGUUUCGGGAAAAAAAGUCCCCCUGUCCACCACCAAUCCGAGUCCACAUAUACCACCAAUGCGAGUCCACAUAUACAUCCUCCUGUCCACCACCAAUCCGAGUCCACAUAUACAUCCGCCUGUCUACCACCCAUCCGAGUCCACAUAUACAUCUACCUGUCCACCAUCAAUUCGAGUCCUUUCCAUAUUAGGUUUGUUUUCGAGAUACUUUUAUUUUCCGAUUCGUGUUUCCUUGCCUGAGUAGGUUUCGAAAAAAAAGUCUCGAGACCCCCGGGCAGUUUUUAGGCCAAAAUUUCGGUGACUGAAAAUAUUUUUUCCCUAUCCUAUUUUUAGGCUUUUCUGACUCUUUUGAGACACUCGCCAUCAUAGUGAUUUUUCGCAAAAAAAAGAGGAGCGCAAAAAAACGGAGAGAAAAAAUUCCAGAGUGUGCUUUUCCCUAGUUUUCGUGCAGCGCCGUGAUUUUUGUAGUGUUCUAGGCUCGUGUCUCUAGCACGGUCUAGCCUAGGACCAGCACAGUACCGUCAUUGAUCGUUUAUUCAACUUUGCAUCUCUGAAUUGAUUAUUGCUGACCCUUUUUGCUACCAUAUUGUAAGCCUUCCUAGCUCCACAUACAUCUACGUCGUGCAUUGACUCUCCCUGGUAAUCGCUCUAUCCAAGCUUUGAGAGUUUUGACUACAACGGUUGCCGAUCACCCCUGCUGCUGGGUAAGAACUGGUAAGAAUUUGAGAUUUGUUUGACGGAUUUGUGACACCCACCACCACCAUUUUCUAGUAGUCUGUAGGAUCAUAUUAUUGUGUGUUCCUAUUGCUGCUAACCAUGGCAGGUUCACUAGUCGAUGAGACUGACUGGGAGAACAUGACGAAUAAGGAGUUGCAUGAUAAAUUUCAGCAAAUGAUGACUAAACAGGUGCAAGAUGUGCUGAACAAUUUUGAAGAGGCCAUGGAUAAGAUAACUGGCCUUGAGAAGACGUUCGAAACAAAGCUUGAUAACAGAUUUAAUGAACUGCUUGCGCAUCUUUCACAACCACCACCGGCUGCACCUUCCGCACCUCUCCAACAACAACAACGACGACGACUACCUCCACGUCACGAAACAGCCCUCCGCCGAGCGAGCCGUGUCCCUCUUGAGCCUGGCCAAACUGUUGGUGUUGCUGUUGAUACUUCUGUGGCUCCUACUGCUGAUGAGGAGGAGGAUGAUUAUGCGGGAGAUUACGAGGAUGAGGUUGAUCAAAAUCAGAACUACGUGCAACCACCAGCACGAGGUCGUCCACAUGCAAAUAAUAGCAAUGGUAGGGCUGCAUUACCAGCUCAGGUAUGAGAUCAUGACCAUCUUCCUAAACUGAAAUUGAAUAUUCCACCAUUUGAGGGUAGAUAUGUUCUUGAUAUAUAUCUUACUUGGGAGUUAGAAACCGAACAACGUUUUACAUGUUUAGAAUAUCACGAGGGGAGACGUGUUGCUAAUGCACUUUGUGCUUUCACUAGUUUUGCUUGUGUGUGGUGGUCUGAACAUCGUAGAUUAUAUCUGAAUAAUAUUCCAACUACUUGGGCUGGUUUGAAAACUGCUAUGCGUACUCGUUGGGUUCCACCAUACUAUCAACGUGAAUUACUUAAAAAAUUGCAGUGUUUAAGACAAGGAAAAUAUUCUAUAGAGGAAUAUUAUCAGGAAUUACAAACUGGCAUGAUUAGAUGUGGUAUUGUUGAGGAUAAUGAAGCUAUGCUUGCACGUUUUAUGGGUGUAUUAAAUAGAGAGAUUCAGACCCAUUCUAGAGUAUAAGGAGUAUAAUAAUAUCACUCGCUUAUUCCAACUUGCUUGUAAAGCUAAACGUGAAGUGCAGGAUCGACAGGCAUUGGUGCUAACUAACUUUUCUGCAGGUCGACCUUCAUCAUGGACACCACGUGCAUCCUCUACUUCCACUGCACCAUCACCUCCAUCAGGUGCCACCUCCAACCGUGAUACAAGAAAGCAGGCACAACCACCACUAUCUUCUAAGAGCACACCUGGUGGGCCUGCACAGAUAUCUUCUUCUUCCAUGGCAUCAACAGGGCACACAAGUGAUAUUAUUUGUCGUCGUUGUAAGGGAAGAGGUCAUUAUGCGAGAGAAUGCAAAUCUCAGCGUGUGAUGAUUGCUACUGAGGAUGGUGGGUAUGAGUCCGCUAGUGACUAUGAUGAGGAGACUUUGGCUCUUAUUACACGUGAAGAACACGGUGGAGAUGAUUCUGAUCAUGAGACACAAUACAUGGCUCCUGAAGAUGCCGACAGGUAUGAAUGUUUAGUUGCUCAACGUGUUUUGAGUGUGCAGGUCACACAAGGUGAGCAAAAUCAGAGGCAUAAUUUGCUCCAUACAAAGGGAGUUGUGAACAAGCAUUCUUUUCGCGUCAUCAUAGAUGGAGGGAGCUGCAACAACUUGGCUAGCAUGGAGAUGGUGGAGAAGCUAUCUCUCACCACAAGACUACAUCCACAUCCUUACUACAUCCAAUGGUUCAACAACAGCGGCAAGGUUAAGGUAACAUGUACAGUUUCUGUGCAUUUUAGUAUCUCUACAUAUGUUGAUUAUGCUGAUUGUGAUGUGGUACCUAUGCAAGCAUGUUCCUUAUUACUUGGUAGACCAUGGCUAUUUGAUAAAAAAUCUGUACACCAUGGUAGAAACAAUCAGUAUACUCUUGUUCAUAAGGAUAAAAAUAUUACUUUGCUUCAUAUGACUCCUGAUUCCAUUUUGAAAGAUGAUAUUAAUAGAGCUAAUAAAGCAAAACAGGAGAAAAAUAAGAGUGAAAAUCAGAUUGUGGCAAAAGAAUUUGAGCAAACAAAUGAAACCUAAUAAUAAACCAUCUAGUGUUGCUUCUGAAAUUACAUUGAAAAGUGCAUGUUUACUUGCCACAAAAUUUGAUAUUGAUGAGCUAGAUUUCAGCAAAUCUGUUUGCUAUGCUUUUGUGUGCAAAGAGGCAUUAUUUUCAUUCGAGGACCUGCCUUCUUCUUUGCCCCCUGCUAUCACUAACAUUUUGCAGGAGUUCGCUGACGUAUUUCCACAAGACGUGCCACCGGGAUUACCACCUAUUCGAGGGAUUGAGCAUCAAAUUGACUUAAUUCCCGGUACAUCGCUACCCAACCAUGCACCAUACCGUACCAAUCCAGAGGAGACGAAGGAGACUAUGCGUCAAGUAUAGGAGCUGCUCGACAAAGGUUAUAUAUGCGAAUCUCUUAGUCCUUGUGUUGUUCCUAUUAUACUAGUGCCUAAAAAGGAUGGUACAUCGCGUAUGUGUGUUGAUUGUAGCGGCAUUAAUAAUAUUACUAUUCGUUAUCAUCAUCCUAUUCCUAGGCUAGAUGAUAUGCUUGAUGAAUUGAGUGGCUCUACAAUAUUCUCCAAAGUUGAUUUGCGUAGUGGAUACCAUCAAAUUCGUAUGAAAUUGGGAGAUGAAUGGAAAACAACAUUUAAAACUAAGUUUGGUUUAUAUGAGUGGUUAGUCAUGCCUUUUGGGUUAACUAAUGCACCUAGUACUUUCAUGAGACUAAUGAACGAAGUUUUACGUGCUUUCAUUGGAUGAUUUGUGGUAGUCUAUUUUGAUGAUAUACUGAUUUAUAUGAAAUCUUUGGAAGAACAUUUGGAACAUUUACGUGUUGUUUUUAUUGCUCUACGUGAUGCACGUUUGUUUGGUAACCUUGGGAAGUGCACCUUUUGCACCGACCGAGUAUCUUUUCUUGGCUAUGUUGUUACUCCACAGGGAAUUGAAGUUGAUAAAGCCAAGAUUGAAGCUAUUGAGAGUUGGCCGCAGCCCAAAACAGUGCACCUUUUGCACCGACCGAGUAUUUUCUUGGCUAUGUUAUUACUCCACAGGGAAUUGAAGUUGAUAAGGCCAAGAUUGAAGAUAUUGAGAGUUGGUCGCAUCCCAAAAUGGUCACACAAGUAAGGAGUUUUCUUGGACUCGCUGGUUUCUAUAGGCGUUUUGUGAGGGAUUUUAGCACCAUUGCUGCACCUCUCAAUGAGCUUACAAAGAAGGAUGUGCCUUUUGUUUGGGGUACCGCGCAGGAAGAAGCCUUCACGGUAUUGAAAGAUAAGUUGACACAUGCUCCUUUACUCCAACUUUCUUAUUUUAAUAAGACUUUUGAGCUUGAAUGUGAUGCUAGUGGAAUUGGAUUAGGAGGUGUGUUAUUACAAGAUGGCAAACCUGUUGCAUACUUUUCUGAAAAAUUGAGUGGGCCUAGUCUGAACUAUACUACUUAUGAUAAAGAAUUAUAUGCUCUUGUUCGGACCUUAGAAACAUGGCAACAUUAUUUAUGGCCCAAAGAAUUUGUUAUACAUUCUGAUCAUGAAUCUUUGAAACACAUUAAAAGUCAAGCAAAACUGAACCGUUGACAUGCUAAAUGGGUUGAAUUCAUUGAGACUUUCCCUUAUGUCAUUAAACACAAGAAGGGUCAAGAAAAUGUUAUUAUUGAUGCAUUGUCUCGUCGUUAUACUAUGCUUUCACAACUUGACUUUAAAAUAUUUGGUUUGGAGACCAUCAAAGAUAAAUAUGUGCAUGAUGCUGAAUUUAAAGAUGUAUUGCAUAAUUGUAAAGAAGGUAGAACAUGGUACAAGUUCGUCGUUAACGAUGGAUUUGUGUUUCGUGCUAACAACCUAUGCAUUCCAGCUAGCUCCGUUCGUCUUUUGUUGUUGCAGGAGGCGCAUGGAGCAGGACUAAUGGGACACUUUGGCGUGAAGAAGACGGAGGAUAUACUUGCUACACAUUUCUUUUGCCAAAGAUGAGACGGGAUGUUGAGCGUUUUGGUGCUCGCUGCACUACAUGUCAAAAAGCUAAGUCACGACUCAAUCCUCAUGGUUUAUAUAUGCCUUUGCCUGUACCUAGUGUUCCUUGGGAGGAUAUAUCUAUGGACUUUGUUCUAGGUUUACCUCGAACAAAGAAGGGGAGGGAUAGCAUAUUUGUUGUCGUGGAUAGGUUCUCGAAAAUGGCACACUUUAUACCAUGUCAUAAAAGCGAUGAUGCUGUUAAUGUUGCUGAUUUGUUCUUUCGUGAAAUUAUUCGCUUGCAUGGUGUGCCAAAUACUAUUGUUUCAGAUAUUGAUACUAAAUUUCUUAGCCACUUUUGGAGAUGUUUAUGGGCUAAGUUGGGUUCUAAACUGCUUUUUAGUACUACAUGUCAUCCCCAAACUGAUGGACAAACUGAAGUAGUCAAUAGAACAUUGUCUACCAUGCUUAGGGCUAUUUUUGAAGAAUAACAAGAAAAUGUGGGAAGAAUGCUUGCCUCAUAUUGAAUUUGCUUAUAAUCGUUCAUUGCAUUCUACUACUAAGAUGUGCCCUUUUGAAAUUGUGUAUGGUUUCCUACCUCGUGCACCUAUUGAUUUGUUGCCUCUUCCAUCUUCGGAGAAGGUUAAUUUUGAUGCUAAACAACGUGUUGACUUGAUUUUAAAAAUGCAUGAGUUAACUAAGGAAAACAUUGAGCGUAUGAAUGCUAAAUAUAAACUUGCGAGAGAUAAGGGUAGAAAACAUGUUGUGUUUGCACCUGGAGAUCUUGUUUGGUUACAUUUGCGUAAGGAUAGAUUUCCUGAAUUGCGCAAAUCAAAGCUAAUGCCACGUGCUGAUGGCCCUUUUAAGGUGUUAGAGAAAAUAAAUGAUAAUGCAUAUAAACUUGAGCUGCCUGCAGAUUUUGAAGUUAGUCCCACUUUUAACAUUGCAGAUUUGAAGCCUUAUUUGGGUGAGGAAGAUGAGCUUCCGUCGAGGAUGACUUCAUUUCAAGAAGGGGAGGAUGAUGAGGACAUCAAUACCAUUGUUACACCCACAGCCCCUGCUACUAUACAUACUGGACCGAUUACUAGAGCUCGCGCACGCCAAUUAAAUUACCAGGUACUUUCGUUUCUUGGUAAUGAUUCUAAUGUUCAUGAGAAUAUGAUGCGACCUAAAUUGGAUACAUUUAUUUUGCUUACAAAUGAAGGGCCUAGCUUGGAGAAGGAUCAACAUUGGAGUAAGAACAAUCAUGGAGUUGAUGGCAUGCGCAAGGGAGACAAGAACAGAGUUUCAAGUGAUGAUUUCAGGACUAUGAAGCCACCAUAAUGAGGGCAUGAAGCCUUGGAUGAAAUAUACAAGAUGCCACUUCAUAAUUUUUUUCCAGAGGCUAUUCUAGGCGCUGCGUCACCUUAUUUUUGGGUCAGGCCCAUUUAAUUUCGAAAUACUUCAAUAUAGGCUGUUUUUAGAGUCCGUAUGUGUGGGGAAACAAGAGUUAGGGUUGGUUUCGGACCCCUCCUCCAAGCGCCACGAAAUCCCCCCCCCCCCUCUUCCUCCAUAUAUACAACCCUUAGGGCAUCGUUUAGACUUUGGGUUUUGUUUAGAUUAAAGUUCGCCAUAGCUGCAACUUCGCGUACUUCGUUUGUGUUCAACAACCAGACAAAGACGUCACAGAACCCCACCUUGAUCAAUAAAGCUUUCCUCUUAUAUUCGCAAUAUCCAGAUUGCAAUCUUAGUUUCUUGCUUGUUCUUCGUUUGCCUGCAGGAAACAGACCUUCGUGGUCAGGUUGAUCAUGCUCCGGCAUGGUCAAUAAGCUCUCGGAGUUGUUUUAGCGAUUGCUAAGGCGCGACGUCCUCGCACGUUCGUAGUCGGAUCGUCAAAGUCGACUUCCUCCAAAAUGAUAGCCACCAUCUCAUCGAAAGACGGGACACCUUUGCCCCUAUCAACACUCAAGAACAAGUCCAAUCACACAUCCACUAGACAAUCAAACACACAAUAUCCACAAGGUACAUGAAUAAGAAAGGGAAAGAUACAAGGUAAAGUUCAUUCCAAAUCCAAAGGAGAUGGGGGCUUGAAUCCUAGAAGGAUCUUCUCCGUGAGGAGGUCUUGAAUCCCUCGGGAUCUUCUCCUAGAUGGAGGUCUUGGCCUUGCUACCUCUUGAACACUGCGUUGGUUUUCCCUUGAAGAGGAAAGGGUGAUGCAGUAAAGUAGCGUAAGUAUUUCCCUCAGUUUUUGAGAACGAAUGUAUGAAUCCAGUAGGAGGUCACGCUCAAGUCCCUUGCACCUACACAAACAAAUAAGAACCUCGCAACCAACGCGAUAAAGGGGUUGUCAAUCCCUUCACGGUCACUUACGAGAGUGAGAUCUGAUAGAGAUGAUAAGAUAAUAUUUUUGGUAUUUUUAUGAUAAAGAGUAAAAGUAAAGAAAGCAAAGUAAACAGUAAUGGAAAUAACGGGAGAUUAAUAUGAUGGAAAAUAGACCCGGGGGCCAUAGGUUUCACUAGUGGCUUCUCUCAAGAGCAUAAGUAUUACGGUGGGUGAACGAAUUACUGCCGAGCAAUUGAUAGAAUUGAGCAUAGUUAUGAGAAUAUCUAGGUAUGAUCAUGUAUAUAGGCAUCACGUCCGUGACAAGUAGACCGACUCCUGCCUGCAUCUACUACUAUUACUCCACACAUCAACCGCUAUCCAGCAUGCAUCUAGAGUAUUAAGUUCAUAAGAACGGAGUAACGCUUUAAGCAAGAUGACAUGAUGUAGAGGGAUAAACUCAUGCAAUAUUAUAUAAACCCCAUCUUUUUAUCCUCGAUGGCAACAAUACAAUACAAUACAUGUCGUUUCCCCUACUGUCACUGGGAUCGAGCACCGCAAGAUUGAACCCAAAGCUAAGCACUUCUCCCAUUGCAAGAAGAUCAAUCUAGUAGGCCAAACCAAACUGAUAGUUCGAAGAGACUUGCAAAGAUAACCAAUCAUACAUAAAAGAAUUCAGAGAAGAUUCAAAUAGUGUUCAUAGAUAAUCUUGAUCAUAAACCCACAAUUCAUCGGAUCUCGACAAACACACCGCAAAAGAAGAUUACAUCGAAUAGAUCUCCAAGAGAAUCGAGGAGAACUUUGUAUUGAGAUCCAAACAGAGAGAAGAAGCCAUCUAGCUAAUAACUAUGGACCCGAAGGUCUGAGGUAAACUACUCACACAUCAUCGGAGAGGCUAUGGUGUUGAUGUAGAAGCCCUCCGUGAUCGAUGCCCCCUCCGGCAGGAUGCCGGAAAAGGCCCCAAGAUGGGAUCUCACGGGUACAGAAGGUUGCGGCGGUGGAAUUAGGUUUUCGUGGUCGCUUCUGAUGGUUUGGGGGUACGUAGGUAUAUAUAGGAGGAAGAAGUAGGUCGGUGGAGCCAUGAGGGGCCCACGAGGGUGGAGGGCGCGCCUGGGGGGUAGGCGCGCCCCCUGCCUCGUGGCCGCCUUGUUGGUUGCUUGAGGUCCACUCCAAGUCCUCUGGAUAACGUUUGUUCCAAAAAUCACGCUCCCGAAGGUUUCAUUCCGUUUGGACUCCGUUUGAUAUCCUUUUUCUGCGAAACACUAAAAUAGGCAAAAAAAACAGCAAUUUGGGUUGGGCCUCCGGUUAAUAGGUUAGUCCCAAAAAUAAUAUAAAAGUGUAUAAAUAAGCCCAUUAAACAUCCAAAACAGAAUAUAUAAUAGCAUGGAACAAUCAAAAAAUUAUAGAUAUGUUGGAGACGUAUCAAGCAUCCCCAAGCUUAAUUCCUGCUCGUCCUCGAGUAGGUAAAUGAUAAAAAUAGAAUUUUUGAUGUGGAAUGCUUCUUAGCAUAAUUCUCAAUGUAAAUUUUUUUAUUGUGGCAUGAAUAUUUAGAUCCGAAAGAUUCAAGAUAAAAGUUUAAUGUUGACAUAAAAACAAUAAUACUUCAAACAUGCUAACCAAGCAAUUAUGUCUUAUCAAAAUAACAUAGCCAAAGAAAGCUUAUCCCUACAAAAUCAUAUGGUUAGGCCAUGUUUCAAUAUUGUCACACAAACGUUCUCAUCAUGCAUAACCCCGACGACAAGCCGAGCAAUUGGUUCAUACUUUUUACCGCGCUUCAGCCUUUUCAACUCUUACGCAAUACAUGAGCGCAAGCCAUGGAUAUAGCACUAUGGGUGGAGUAAAGUAUAAUGAUGGGGGUUAUAAAAGAAGACAAAAAAGGUAGAAAGUCUCACAUUGACGUAGCUAAUCAAUAGACUACGGAGAUGCCCAUCAAUUGAUGUCAAUGAGAGGAGUAGGGAUUGCCAUGCAACGGAUACACUAGAGCUAUAAAUAUAUGAAAGCUCAACAAAAGAAACUAAGUGGGUGUGCAUCCAACUUGCUUGCUCACGAAGACUUAGGGCAUUUUGAGGAAGCCCAUCAUUGGAAUAUACAAGCCAAGUUCUAUAAUGAAAAAUUCCCACUAGUAUAUGAAAGUGACAACAUAGGAGACUCUCUAUCAUGAAGAUCAUAGUGCUACUUUGAAGCACAAGUGUGGCAAAAGAAUAGGAACAUUGUCCCUUCUCUCUUUUUCUCUCAUUUUUUCUUUUUUUUUCUUUGGGCCUUCUUUUUUCCUUUUUUUUCUUUGGCCUCUUUUUUUAUUUAUUUAGUCCGGAAUCUCAUCCCGACUUGUGGGGGAAUCAUAGUCUCCAUCAUCCUUUCCUCACAUGGGACAAUGCUCUAAUAAUGAUGAUCAUCACACUUUUAUUAUUUACAACUCAACAAUUACUACUCAAUACUUAGAACAAAAUAUGACCCUAUGUGAAUGCCUCCGGCGGUGUACCGGGAUAUGCGAUGAAUCAAGAGUGACAUGUAUGAAAAAUUAUGAAUGGUGGCUUUGCCACAAAAUACGAUGUCAACUACAUGAUCAUGCAAAGCAAUAUGACAAUGAUGAAGCAUGUCAUAAUAAACGGAACGGUGGAAAGUUGCAUGGGAAUAUAUCUCGGAAUGGCUAUGGAAAUGCCAUGAUAGGUAGGUAUGGUGGCUGUUUUGAGGAAGAUAUAAGGAGGCUUAUGUGUGAUUGUUGGUGUACAAAAAUAGGGGCACGCUUUUGUACCCCUUUACCUGUGCACGGGCAGUCGGAGCCGCGCCCACGACCACACCAAGCAGAACAGGGGAGGUGAGCCAAGGUAAGACCGAAGCCCAAGACAAUCAAAGCAACGCCAAGGCCAAGACCACAAAGAGCAGAGGGACGAAGCAAGUCCCCCCGGCAAGACCCUUGCCGGGCGGCCUCAGCGGCCCCAGCAAGACCCUUGCCGGGACAGCUCGCCCCACACCAACAGAGCGAGCCAUCCUUGAGCCCACGGCCCCCAGCGCCAUCAUCAACGUGGGGCCAGUGCUCGGGAAGGCACCUCUGUGGUGGCAUGCAGAACUUUGUGAAGACAUAUUCAAGAUCAGAUGAGGAUUAGAAGACGACGAUUCUCGGUAAGAUCCCUGUCGAGGAAGGCAACCAGACCCCCGGCAAGAUCCUUGCUGGGGACGACAGCACGCCACGGCAAGACCCUUGCCGGCCCACCCGGCAAGGCCCUCGCCAAGGACGCCAGCGGGGCCACCGCCAAACCUGCGCCGGACAGGCUUCCACCACUGUUCACAUACAGCUGCCAGCCCAACCAGCUAGGCGGGCACGUGCGUGGCAGCAUGCAGCUCCCAGGCCAACUCAUCGAGCGCCUGCGUGGCGACAUGCAGAUCUUCAUGAAGGCUCCGCCACUGCGCCACCUCAGCUGCCUGGCUGCCUACAUGGCACCACGCACCUCACGGGCCAGGGCACGUGUCAAGGCGAGGAGGAGCGGCGACGGACGGGACAGGCCUCACCCCCGUCCCCAAUAAAGCAAGGGGACACCUAAGCUACGCAUUAAAUGCGUCUUGUCUUGUAAUACGAGCGAUAAGCUCAGAGCACUGUACGCCUUUCCACCUCCUGUGUGUCACUGUGGCAGCCCCUUUCAACUGUAAAAGGAGGCCCAUGGCAUACUGGAGGAGGAUUCGGCUCUUUCGAACCACGCACUGACCACAGCUAGUUCGAGAGCUCAAGAACUCUCAGAAAUACACCCACCAAAGCAGGACUAGGGUUUUACGCAUCCUCGCGGCCCGAACCUGGGUAAACCAUCCUUGUGCUGUCUACUAGCCCUGCUCUCCUUGCAACCCUGCACCCCGGCAACCGUAGUAGGGAUUCUUGUGGUCCCAUAGGUGUCGUUCCACACCGACAUCUUUGGCGCGCCAGGUAGGGGGCACAAUUGUGAGAAUCUGGUCUGGUAGUUAGCCUAGCAGUUCUUCGUCGACAUGGCUCCUAAGAAGAAGACGACCACGGCGAUCGGCUCGUUGGGAGCCAACGGCCCGUACCGGUGCGGACGAGCAGCGGACCGGUCGUAGACAGGACCUGGGCCGCGGCCCGCGAGCACCAGCAUCGCCCAGGCAGUCGGAGCCUGCGAGCAGCGUCGUUCGCGCGCUAGACGACUAGCUACACGUCGCUGGAUCCAAAGACGGAGCUGGGCCCCCCACAGGCGGCGCGGGGCCCUCCAGGAGUGUCGCUGUGCCACCCCUGGGCGGCGCAGCGACCUCCAGGACGCCCACACCGGCGACCGCCGCGCGCUCUUCCCAUGGUGUGCGCGCCGAGCAGCGUCACCACGUCGGUGACCCUGGGCACCGCCGUGGGAAGAGCCCUGUGCGUCAUCCGCAAGAUGAAGGGGUUCAGCACGCUCGCCGAAGCACUGGCAAAAAUGGCACGCAGCCGCUGGGUCGUAACGGAGCUCCUUCUAACGUAGUUAGAAGUCGAAGCGUGCCGCGAUCCACGCAGCUGUCACCGCCGCCCACGCCAGCGGAAGCUUUGGCGCGCGCGCAGCUGCUCCUCGACUUCCCUCCUGCUGCGCAGAAGCUCGACGAGUGGAGGGCCACCAUCCGAAGCCUCGUCGCCAUCGCGAACAAAGACGAUCCGCGACCGGCGGGGCCCUCGGGUCGGUGCUCCACCGAGCCACCACAUGCUGGCGUCGGGAGGACCGGGGGAGUUGCGGCCACGGUGCACUCUCCUCCUCCUCACCAGCCGCCGCGGGCGUCGGCCCGUCGUGACGACGCUUGCGAUAAACUCUCCAUAGCGUCGUCCGACCCGCGGACCCUCCGCGACCAGCGCCAGGUCCUUCGGGAACGAGCUCGCGAAGACGCUCGAACCACCGUCGAGCGCCGGCGCGAAACGCGCCGCCAGUCAGACAAGCGGGCGGGACCCGCUAUGGACCACCCGGCACCGGGGGGCUCCGGCGGCCUACCUUACCAUGUGGGCUGCCCGGCCUUUACCCGUGAGCUGCGGCAGUUCCAAUGGCCGUCUCACUGCAUGUUCAAACGCGACGUCGGCGAGAAGUACACCGGCAAGACCCAUCCGUCCGAGUUCCUCAACAUCUACACCAUCGCGAUGCAGGCUGCUGGGGCUCGCGGCGACAAGGUGCUUGCCAACUAUUUCCCGCUGGCGCUCAAGCCCAAUGUGAUGUCUUGGUUGAUGCACUUGCCGGUGGAUUCCAUUUCUUCUUGGUCGGAUCUGUGCCAUGAGUUCAUUGGCGUCUUCACAGGAGGCCACCAAGCUCAUGGCCAGGCCAGUGAUCUGCACAUCAUUCCCCAGAAGGAAGGGGAGACCCUGCGCAAGUACAUCCAGAGAUUCAGCCGGGUGCAGUACAACAUCCCCGACGUUCAUCCCGCCGCUGUGAUUAGCGCGUUCCACCAGAACAUGCGCAAUCGCAAGAUGCGCGAAGAGCUGGCGAUGACCAAAGUUAAGGACGUGGCCGAGCUCUACGUCCUGGCCGUUAGGUGCGCCCGGGCUGAAGAGGGAAGGAACUACCCCGACGAAGACGCCGGCGCGGAAACCGACUCUACCGAUGAAGACGUCGCUACCCCGAUGAGGAAGGGCCGGCGUCGCUACAGGAAACGCAAAGGCAAGACCGUGCUUGCCGUUGAGGGAUCUGAUGACACCAGUGUUGGCAAGAAGGUCAAAGCAGACGCCCCCGGCAAGGAGAUUGCCGGGUGCGCCGCCUGCCGAGCCUUGGCGGCUACCGACAAGCCAGGAAGCUCCGACAAGCAAUACUGCAAGAUCCACCGCACCAAGGGCCACGACCUCCAGAACUGCCGGCAAGUCGAGCUGCUUGCUGAGAAGCAAAAGGCUGAGUAUGAGAGGCAGGACAAGGAGAAGGACCAGGACGGUGCGGAGGGGUCCGGCAAGAAGCGUGGCGGCCAAGGAGGCCACCCGGGCAAGGACAACCAGCAAGAGAGGCCCGCCCGGGGCCGCGACAAGAAACAAGAAGACGAUGAUCACGACGAGGACGACGAGUCUGGUGAGCAAGGGUUCCAGAAGGCUACGAAGGCCAUGUGCGUCGAUGGCGGCGCCUCGCUGCAUACCUCUCAUCGCCAGCUCAAGCAGUGGGCGCGUGAGAUUACAGCAGCAGAGCCAUUGUUCGACGCUCAGAAGCCGCUGAAGUGGUCCAGCACGCCCCUCAUCUUUGACGCCGAGGACCACCCUGACCGCACUACCGCGGUCGGGUGUUCGCCAUUGUUGGUAUCACCAACAAUACGCAACCUCAGAGUGAACAAGAUGUUGGUUGACGGCGGGGCCUGCCUGAACCUGGUCUCGCCUGUCGUGAUCAAAAAGUUGCAAAUCCCUGAUGGAGACCUCGAGGAAACGGGCACGUUUCAAGGGGUCAAUCCGGGGAGGAGCCAGCCGAAGGGAAAGGUCACACUGCCCGUGACGUUUGGAGGAGAGUUGAACUACAGGACAGAGAGGAUCGUCUUCGACGUAGCCGAGAACCCCUUGCCCUACAACGGGAUCCUCGGCCGCCCAGCACUAGCCAAGUUCAUGGCGGCGUCACACUACGCCUACAACAUGCUAAAGAUGCCUGGGCCGUUGACCAUCAUCUCCGUCCCCUCCAACAAGAAGGACGCACUGAUCUGCGCCGACCAGCUCUACCGAGAAGCAGUUGCAGCGGCUGCCGUCAAGGCACCUGCUCCUGCCGCUGAAGCCCCGGGAGGGAAGAAGAAGCCCGGCAAGACCUCUCGCACCCACUCCAGCAAGCGCACCUCCUCGGAGUGUUGUGCUACCGUCGAGGACGUGCCAGAGAGCUCUAUCGACAAGAGCAAGAGACCCAGGGCCGAGCCGCCGUAGACCAAGAAGGUGCCCGUCAAGGAGGAUGGCACGGGAGGCGCCUUCACCAUAGGCUCCACCCUCGACAGCAAAUAGGAAGGCGCACUCGUCACCUUCCUGCGGGCGAAUGUCGACGUGUUUGCAUGGCAAGCAUCCGACAUCCCCGGUGUUCCCAGGGAGGUGAUUGAGCACCACCUAGCUGUCUGCCCCCAUGCGCGGCCCGUCAAGCAGAAGGUCAGAAAGCAGGCUCUGGAGAGGCAGGAGUUCAUCACAGAGGAGAUCAGGAAGUUGGAAGCGGCAGGUUUGGUGAGAGGAGUGCUCCACCCGACGUGGUUGGCCAAUCCGGUAGUGGUGCGCAAGGCGAAUGGGAAGUGGAGACUAUGUAUUGAUUACACAGAUAUCAAUAAGGCUUGCCCUAAGGACCCCUUCCCGUUGCCACGCAUCGACUAGAUUGUUGACUCCACGGCCGGGUGCGAUCUGCUAUCAUUCCUCGACGCCAACUCAGGCUACCACCAGAUCUUCAUGACGAAAGAGGAUGAAGAGAAGACAACUUUCAUCACCCCAUGUGCUUCUCGGGUUCUUUGUGUCACAGCGCGGGAUCGAGGCAAACCCGGAAAAGAUCAAGGCUACUGAGCAGAUCGAGGCGCCCAAGCGGAUCAAGGAUGUGCGUUGGCUCACCGGCUGCGUUGCCGCCAUGAGCCGAUUCAACUCCAAGUCCGCCGAGCGCGCCCUUCCCUUCUUCAAAAUCUUGAAGAAGCCAUGCCCAAUAGAGUGGACCCCAGAAGCUGAGGCAGCACUGCAGGAUCUGAAGAAAUACCUUUCCUCCACGCCAAUACUGGUUGCGCCAAGACCACAAGAGCCGUUGCUGCUGUAUCUGGUGGCGACGAAUCAAGUGGUCAGCGCCGCACUGGUGGCACGGAGGGAGGUCGACGAGGAGGCAGCAAUGGCGGCAGAAUCGGCGGAUGGCAAGCCAAAGACUCCCCCGGCAGGGCCUGGUGCCGACAAGGCGCGGCCCCCGGCAGAGUCUGGUGCCACCAAGGCAGUGCCCGCGCAAUCGAGUGAGGUGGUGCCGAAGAAGAAGAUAAUGCAGCACCCGGUUUACUUCGUCAGCUCCCUAUUGCAGGGGGCUAGGUCGAGGUAUUCCGGCAUACAAAAAUUGCUCUUCGGCCUCCUUAUGGCCUCAAGGAAGCUGCGUCACAACUUCCAAGCCCACAAGAUCACUGUCGUCACCCGCCUCCCGUUGCAACGGAUACUGCAUAACCCAGACGCAAUCGGAAGGAUUGUGGAAUGGGCCUUGGAGCUGUCAAGCUUCGGUUUAAAGUUUGAAAGUACCUCGACAAUUCAGAGCAGAGUCUUGGUGGAGUUCAUCGCAGAAUGGACCUCGAUGCCUGACGAAGAAAUCCAGGAGACCACUCUCCCCGGCAAGGAAGCAGACCGCGACUGGAUCAUGUACUUUGAUGGGGCUUUCUCGCUGCAAGGCGCCGGUGCCGGUGUGCUGCUCGUCGCACCCACCAGAGAACACCUCAAGUACGUGAUCCAGAUGUACUUCCCCAGGGAGAUGACCACCAACAACAUUGCUGAGUACGAGGGAUUGCUUGCCGGUCUCAGGAUCGCGGCAGACCUCGGGGUUAAGAAGCUCAUCGUCAGGGGUGACUCGCAGCACGUUGUCAGGCAAGUCAACAAGGAUUAUCAGAGCCCAUUGAUGGAAGCUUACGUAGAUGAGGUGAGGAAGCUGGAGGAUCGCUUUGACGGUAUCCAGGCGGAGCACGUCCCCCGAGCGGAGAACGACAUCGCCGAUUACCUGUCAAAGCGUGCUGCAUUCAAGCUACCUAUGGAACUAGGUACCUUUUUGCUCCGGUUAACUCAACCAUACGUCGAACCAUCAGCGGGGCAGAACAAGCGGAGGAAAUCAGGUCCCGGCAAGUACUUUCCUACCGAGCCCCCUGGGGCUGCCGGCAAGGGUGCUGCCACGGACGCUGAGCCUGCCCAAGAGUAACUGGCUCCGGCAGGGCGUCAAGCCCUGGCCGUAGAGACAGCCGCUCCCAUGGCGGAAGAGAUGCCUUUGGUCCUUGCCGUCGAGCCCCAGGCUCCGGCAUGGGCGCAGCAUACCGUCCAAUUCCUCCAAACAGGGGAGCUUCCUGAGGAGCAGGAAGAAGUGGAGAAAGUAGCCAGUCGGUCCGCCCUGUACCAGUUCGUCGAUGACGUCCUGUACCGGAGAAGGCCGAACGGUGUCAAACUCAAGUGCAUCCCCCGGGGGGAAGGACUGGAGCUGUUGGCAGAGAUACAUGGAGGCAUAUGUGGCUCCCACAUAGGGCCGAGGGCCCUUGCCGGGAAGGCGUUCUGGCAAGGCUUCUUCUGGCCCACCGCCCUCCAGGAUGCGACGGCACUAGUAACCAAGUGUGAAGCAUGCCAGUUCCAUUCAAAGAAGCUUCAUCAACCAGCUCAAGCCCUUCAAACAAUCCCUCUCUCCUGGCCAUUCUCGGUCUGGGGGCUCGAUAUACUGGGCCCUUUCCCCCGCGCUAUCGGGGGCUUUGAGUACUUGUACGUUGCAAUCGACAAGUUCACAAAGUGGCCGGAGGUGGAAGCAAUGAGGAAGGUGACUGCUCAGUCAGCCGUCAAGUUCUUCAAAGGACUGGUCUGCCGUUUUGGUGUGCCAAACAGAGUCAUCACCGACAACGGCACGCAGUUCACAAGCCACACCUUCAUGCAGUACAUCCAAGACCUCGGCAGCAAGGUCUGUUUUGCUUCCGUGGCACAUCCACGGAGCAACGCCAAAGCUGAGAGGGCAAAUGCUGAAGUGUUGCGAGGCCUGAGAACGAAGACCUUUGACAAGCUGCACAAGAGUGGAAGGCGCUGGAUUGAUGAGUUGUCGGCGGUUCUUUGGUCGAUCAGGACGACGCCAAAUCGAGCCACCGGCCAGACACCUUUUGCCCUGGUAUACGGGGCAGAAGCAGUUCUCCCCACGGAACUCAUAUAUGGGUCACCUCGAGUGCUCGCUUAUGAUGAGCUUGAGCAAGAGCCGUUGCGCCAAGAUGAUGCGACGCUCCUUGAGGAAGAUCGUCUUCGGGCGGCUGUGAGAGCGGCACGCUACCAACAAGCCUUGCGCCGCUACCAUAGCCGCAAGGUUCAUGCCCGAAGCUUUGAGGAAGGCGACCUUGUUCUUCGGCACGUUCAGUCGGCCAAGAAUUCCAACAAGUUGACGCCGAAGUGGGAUGGCCCUUAUCGGGUAAUACGAGUCACCAGGCCUGGCGUAGUCCGCCUGGAGACCGAGGAUGCCGUCCAAGUGAGCAACUCCUGGAACAUUGAGCAUCUUCGCAAGUUUUACCCGUAAGGCGCGGCUUGUCGGGCCUCCCGGCAAGCCACCUUUUGUACAAGCUUUGCCGGCAAGGCAUGUGACCCUUUGUACAAAGCCAGGCACAGACCCUGAGCAUAAAUAAAUGAAGCGCUGGCGCCCUAAGUCAUAGCAUGCAUGCUAGGUUGAGUCUCUUCCUUGGUUAGGGUUGAUAGUGCUCAGCAGCGACUAACCCCUAGCUUAGAGGUCGAGUGCGCGUCUAUCUGUUUCUCUUCUGUCCUCUUUUGGUUCGCAGGGCACAUGAGCACUUCUGCUGAGCUAUUUGGAAGAAAGAAAACGGACCGGCGUCCCGACCCCGGCGAACCAGAGUUGCCGGGGGCUGCAAAGCACGGGGAUCCAACCGCAGCAAGACAAGGUUUCCGGGGGCUGCAGAUCCAGAUAAGUCCUUUAUCCUCUGUCAUGCAUUUCGGGACGGGACUGGGGCAUGUGAAACCUCGUUUUUAUCUCUAGGCUGCCGCGCUCCCCUUUUUCCUAUACCAAAGGAUUAUUUCCUGGGUCCGGAUUUGGUUGUAGCCACGGCGGCAAGGAGGUAGAGCGAGGGGCCUAAAGCCCACUUCAUCCCUGCCUCCGCCAAGAGCGCGAGAACGGUCGAGUGGAGUGGGGGGACGGCAAGGCCUAUUGCCGGGCGAAAAACGUUUAUCUAAAACAAUAACAAGGAUUCGCUCCUUGUCGCGGGACUUACCCACGAACGAAAAACCCGGCAAGCAUCCCUUUUUCAUUAAAAACAUCCCAUACAGGUACAGUUCGUACGAAAUGAAAAACAUGAACAAAGGGGAUUACAAGCUUUAAAUUUAACAAGGCCCGCAGGACAGAUUAAAAAAAAGAUAAGGUGCCCGUGAUCCCUUUCUUGUCCCUCUCCUCAGGAGGCAGGUCAAGGAGGCAAGAGGGCAAAAGGGGCGCCUAGGCGAGCUACGAGCAGCAGAAAGCACCAAGAGAGCACCUCGGUGGCCGCCCACGGGCGGGCCGGUGAUGACGGUGCCGGGAAAGGAGCUGGAAGGCAAGGCGGCAGGACCGGCAAUACGCGAUGAAGGCGUCGGUGCCCGCGUACUCCGAGUUGACGGCCUUGCCGCCCGCCCUCUUCCUCUUCCGCAGCCUCCCGACGCCAGCCGCCCAAGGAGACGGCCCCGAGAAGUUCAAGGAGCUGGCCCCACCCCCGGCAAAACCCUGCCGGAGGAGCGGCCAGGUGCAGAUGCUGCUGCUGCCGCACCCGGCCAGGCGCGGGGCGUCCGACGCCUAGUUGGACUCAUCCCCGCUGCCCUCCUCGUCACUUUCGCUUGAGGAAGAGCUUCCAUCGUCGGAAUCUCCAUCAGAGGAGCUCUCCACGCAGCAUUUUAGGCGAGUUCCAAACUCUCCGAAGACCUUGAUGGAGAGCAGGCCGUCCUCCAUUAAUUUGAAGUAGAGGACGAGCCCCGCCGUCAGGCUGUGGAUGCGGGCGAACGUCUUCCAUCCUCGACGGAGGUACAUAACCCGAGGAGCCGGGAAGUCGACGUCGACCCGCGUGCCCCUGUUCCCACAGCCCCUCAUGUGCAACCUGAGGGUCUGGGGCGGGUCACGCUCCAUCACCCGAGCAAACAGGGCAGGGAGACGAAGACGACGACGCGGAGGCCGGCGCAGCCUGAUGAAGAACUCGCAAGGCUGGUCUCCAACGUGGCCCUCCAUCGGGAAGGGCAUCAUUGGCGGGGGCAAGGCUGGCGCACCGCCCCGUCCUCCUCUUCCCGAGCGCUACGGCCUCUGCCCCGGCCUCGCCCCCUCCCCCUUCCCCUCGUGGCCGGUUCCACCACCGCGGGCUCAGGAGGAGGAGGGACGCGCUGUCGAGCGGCGACCCUUGCCGCCACCGUCGAGGGACCAGGAUUCCCCUUCUCCAUGGCGGGUGAGAGGAAGAGGCAGAAGCAGGAGGAAAUAGAAGAUGGAAGAAUGCGGGAUGCCAUCCCCCCUUCCCCCUCUUUAUAAAGGAGCGGGGUUGGGGCUCAGCCGCCCCACUCGACCAAUCCAGACACCGGAGGCGCAAGGAAUCAGGACCGACACGCUGCCCCAACCAGCGACGGCCCGGUUUCCCGCCUCCACCGCUUGCCACGCCAGGCGCAUGAAGGACGCGUGGCGGACGUCCAGAACUGAGGGGACGGGUGAAGCGACCUCUCCCCACCCCGUAAUCAUGGGGAGUGGACGCCUUGAAGACCGCGCCCCGGCCCCGCUCAGUAAAUGAGCUGCGCCUCCACGCCUCCCUCUUUUUACGGGGAAGGCGCGAGCCGCCUCUUUACUGCGAUAUGACGCAUGCGUGUGGAAACCGCCCCACGCAUGCCGCCCACGUCACGCACACCCCUCCACGCCGCACCGCGCGCACGGUUCGUGGGAAGCGAAGCGCGUGAAGAGUCUUACCAUGGUAAAAACCGCCCCACCUGCCCGCGCACCGUUUUGGGCCUGACCCAACAACAUGCCGCGCUUAUGUGUGGCCCAGGCCCGGGGGCUCCUGUCGGUGUACAAAAAUAGGGGCACGCUUUUGUACCCCUUUACCUGUGCACGGGCAGUCGGAGCCGCGCCCACGACCACACCAAGCAGAACAGGGGAGGUGAGCCAAGGUAAGACCGAAGCCCAAGACAAUCAAAGCAACGCCAAGGCCAAGACCACAAAGAGCAGAGGGACGAAGCAGGUCCCCCCGGCAAGACCCUUGCCGGGCGGCCUCAGCGGCCCCGGCAAGACCCAUGCCGGGACAGCUCGCCCCACACCAACAGAGCGAGCCACCCUUGAUCCCACGACCCCAGCGCCAUCAUCAACGUGGGGCCAGGUCUCGGGAAGGCACCUCUGUGGUGGCAUGCAGAUCUUUGUGAAGACAUAUUUUCAAGAUCAGAUGAGGAUUAGAAGACGACGAUUCUCGGCAAGAUCCCUGCCGAGGAAGGCCACUAGACCCCCGGCAAGAUCCUUGCCGGGGACGACAGCACGCCACGGCAAGACCCUUGCCGGGCCACCUGGCAAGGCCCUCGCCAAGGACGCCAGCGGGGCCACCGCCAAACCCACGCCGGACAGGCUUCCACCACUGUUCACAUACAGGUGCCAGCCCAACCAGCUGGGCGGGCACCUGCGUGGCAGCAUGCAGCUCCUAGGCCAACUCAUCGAGCGCCUGUGUGGCGGCAUGCAGAUCUUCGUGAAGGCUCCGCCACCGUGCCACCUCAGCUGCCUGGCUGCCUACAUGGCACCACGCACCUCACUGGCCAGGGCGCGUGUCAAGGCAAGGAGGAGCGGUGACGGACGGGACAGGCCUCACCCCCGUCCCCAAUAAAGCAAGGGGACACCUAAGCCACGCAUUAAAUGCGUCUUGUCCUGUAAUACGAGCGAUAAGCUCAGAGCACUGUACGCCUUUCCACCUCCUGUGUGUCACUAUGGCAGCCCUUUUCAACUAUAAAAGGAGGCCCAUGGCAUACUGGAGGAGGAUUCGGCUCUUUCGAACCACGCACUGACCACAGCUAGUUCGAGAGCUCAAGAACUCUCAGAAAUACACCCACCAAAGCAGGACUAGGGUUUUACGCAUCCUCGGGGCCCGGACCUGGGUAAACGAUCCUUGUGUUGUCUACUAGCCCUGCUCUCCUCGCAACCCUGCGCCCAGGCAACCGUAGUAGGGAUUCUUGUGAUCCCAUAGGUGUCGUUCCACACCGACAGUGAUAGAGUGUAUCAUAUCACGGGGUUUGGAUGCACCGGCGAAGUUUGCACCAACUCUCAAGGUGAGAAAGGGCAAUGCGCGGUACCGUAGAGGCUAGAAAAUUGUGGAAGGUUGAGAGUGCGUAUAAUCCAUGGACUCACAUUAGUCAUAAAGAACUCAUAUACUUAUUGCAAAAGUUUAUUAGCCCUCAAAGCAAAGUACUACUACGCAUGCCCCUAGAGGGAUAGAUUGGUAGGAAAAGACCAUCGCUCGUCCCCGACCGCCACUCAUAAGGAAAGCAAUAAAAGAACACCUAUGUGUCAAAAUUGUUACACAACUUUUACCAUACGUGCAUGCUAUGGAACUUGCCAACUUCCACACAAAUAUUUCUCAAUUUCACAAUUACUCAACUAGCACACUCUAAUAUUACCACCUUUAUAUCUCAAAACACUUAUCAAGUAUCUAACUUCUCAUGAUAUCCAAUGAACUCAAUAUGGAAGAUUAAUUUCACAAUCAAAGCAAAUUACCAUGCUGUUUAAGACUCUCAAAAUAAUAUAAGUGAAGCAUGAGAGAUCAAUAAUUUCUAUAAAAUACAACCACCGCCGUGCUCUAAAAGAUAUAAGUGAAGCACUAGAGCAAAAACUAUAUAGCUCAAAAGAUAUAAGUGAAGCACAUAGAGUAUUCUAACAAAUUCCGAAUCAUGUGUGUCUCUCUUCAAAGGUGUGUACAGCAAGGAUGAUUGUGGCAAACUAACAAACAAAGACUCAAAUCAUACAAGACGCUCCAAGCAAAACACAUAUCAUGUGGUGAAUAAAAAUAUAGCUCCAAGUAAAGUUACCGAUGGAUGAGGACGAAAGAGGGGAUGCCUUUCGGGGCAUCCCCAAGCUUUGGCUUUUUGGUGUCCUUGGAUUUACCUCGGGGUGCCUUGGGCAUCCCCAAGCUUAGGCUCUUGCCACUCCUUGUUCCAUAGUCCAUCAAAUCUUCACCGAAAACUUGAAAACUUCACAACACAAAAUUUAACAGAAAAUCCCGUGAGCUCCGUUAGCGAAAGAAAACAAAACACCACUUCAAGGUACUGUAUUGAACUCAUUCUUUAUUUAUAUUUGUGUUAAACCUACUGUAUUCCAACUUCUCUAUGGUUUAUAAGCUCUUUUACUAGCCAUAGAUUCAUCAAAAUAAGCAAACAACACACGAAAAACAGAACAGUCUAUAGUAAUCUGUAACUAACACAAACUUCUGGAACUCAAAAAAUUCUACCAAAAUAGGACGACCUAAAUAAUUUGUUUAUUGAUCUGCUGCAAUUGGAAUCAGUAUUUUAUCACGUUCUGGUGAUUUUAAACAAUUGUUUUCGUGAGCAGAAAGUUUCUGGAAUUUUCAGCAGGAUCAAAUAACUACCGUCCAAGAAGAUCCUAUAGGUUUAACUUGGCACAACCACUAAUUAAAACACAAAACCACAUCUAAACAGAGGCUAGGUGGAUUAUUUAUUCCUAAACAGAACCAAAAAGCAAAAAACUAAAAAUAAAAUUGGGUUGCCUCCCAACAAGCGCUAUCGUUUAACGCCCCUAGCUAGGCAUAAAAACAAGGAUAGAUCUAGGUAUUGCCAUCUUUGGUAGGCAAUUUUUCAAUAAGACACCUAUAACCCUUAGGAGUUUCUUCCUUUUUAUUAAUUAUCAAACUCCUAGGCACAAAAUCGGGAAAAUCAUUUGUAGCAAAAGGUUCCUUAAGGAUAGCGAGAAAGUUGGGGUGAACACUUAUGGAUUUGAGAUCAGCAUUUCCCUUACUAGAAGUUUCACCCUUACUUUUAGGAACAUACAUAAAUUUAGCAAUCUUAGCAUUAGAAGGAGUGUUUUUCACGGAAGAAAAGGCAGAUCCUAGAUUGGUAAUAAUAUCCUCAAUUUUAUCAAUUCUAGUGGAAUCUUGAUCUAUUUUCUCAUUAACCAUAGGUUCCUUUUCUUUAAAAAAAUUAAGAGCAACUCCAACCUUAGAUCCGUAUUGGGUAAUUUGGUUGUGGAUCUUUCUAUCCAAAUUUUCAAUCAACUCUAUGGUGGCAACUUUAUUUUCAAUAAUUUCAAGUCGUUGCAUCAACUCUUGACAUGGUGAUGUCCGUAGGAUGCUCCGCAUCAUUCUCCAUGCCAUCUAUCUUCUCCAUGGCCUCUUCAAAUCUGUUUAGCACAUCUUGCACCUGUCCACUCAUCAUUUGCUGAAACUUAUCAUGAAGCUCCUUGUUCGUCAAGUUCUCCCAGUCAAUCUCGUCAGCUUGUGAUCCUGCCAUGGUUAGCAGCAAUACAAACACACAAGAAAAUGAUCCUACAGACUACUAACAAGUGGUGGUGGUGGGUGUCACAAAUCCGUCAAGCAAAUCUCAAAUUCUUACCAGUUCUUACCCAGCAGCAGGCGGUGAUCGGCAACCGCUGUAGUCAAAACUCUGAAAGGUUGGAUAGAGUGAUUACCAGGGAGAGUCAAACGCACGAGGUAGGUGUAUGUGGAGCUAGGAAGGCUUAUAAUAUGGUAGCAAAAAAGUUCAGCAAUAAUCAAUUCAGAGAUGCAAAGUUGAAUAAACGCUCAACGACGGUACUGUGCUGGUCUAGGCUAGACCGUACUAGAGAUGCGAGCCUAGAACAUGACCAAAAUCACGCCGCGGCACGUAAACAAGGGAAAAGCACACUCUGGAAAAAAUUCGCUCUGUUUUUUGGCGCUCUUUUUUCUUUUCGCUCUUUUUUUUGCGAAAAAUCACUAUAAUGGAGAGUGUCUGAAAACUCUUCCUAGGUCAAAAUGACAGGAUGGACAUGAAUUUUUUUACUAUUUUUCAGAAAUCAGGGCAGCGACGACGAAAUAGUGCGACAAAAAAUCACUAUGAUGGCACGUGACUCAAAAGACUCAGAAAAGCCUAAAAAUAGGAUAGGGAAAAAAAAUUGCGUGCGAAAAUUUUGGCCUAAAUUUUUUUUAAACCUACUCAGGCAAGGAAACACGAAUCGGAAAUUAGAUGGAUCUUGAAAACAAACCUAAUAUGAAAGGAACUCGGAUUGGUGGUGGAUAUAUGGUGGUAGGAUAUGGCAGCGGUGGUGGUAUAUGGCAGCGAUGGUGGU
rnacentral:lncRNA from 1 species